rnacentral:lncRNA from 1 species
UUGAAAUAACAAUUCUUUGUUAUUAAACCUGUUAUUAAACUUAUCAAGUAUUUCACAUCAACUUCAAUCAGGACUAUAGGUAGGCAUGUAAUCGGUUUAAGAUCCUAACUUCUGUUGCUGCUGCUGCCUCUUCUUCUGCUCAAGAUAUUGCUUUUGGCUCCAUUAAUAGAAAGAUUUUUGAAAGAAUUGGCAGUUGCCCUCAUGUAAUAAAUGCCCACGAGAUGCUUUAGGUAGCGAAGUUCUGGCUACAUCAGUUUGAGGGAAAAAGAAAGCAAGAUGUCUCUUACCUUUUCCGUGUAGACUUCCUGGAGUAGUCCGGCGAACGGGAUUAGUAUCAACGAUAGCAAUCCAGCAAGCACGAAUGCUAGGUUCGGAUGAGUAGAAGUAGAACACUGUUGAGCAGGGGGAGGAGCAGGGGUUAUGGUGAAGCAAAGUGAUGAAAUGAGCUAACGAGGAGAGAAAACUAUAAAUCCAAGAAGACCAAAACUUUCACCUACUAAGAACAUUAAACAAAGACCAAGACUUUCAAGGAUGCUCAUAAGUGGUUAGAGGGAUCAAAACUGAACUCUUUUGUCAAGAAGUCAUCAUAGACGGCUAACUUUAUCUAUUAGUCCACAUUGUAGGAGGAAUCAAGAAAAUUCAAAGAUCAAGACUUUUCGUUAUAAAACAAGUCAUCAUAGACAGCUAACUUUAUCUAUUCGUCCACAUUGUAGGAGGAAUUAAGGAAAUUCAAAGACCAAGACUUUUCGUUAUACAAGAAGUCAUCAUAGACGGCUAAUUUUGGUUGUUCAAUAAGGACAAAGCUAACUUCAUCUAUUCGUCCACAUUAAAUGAGGAAUCAAGGAACUUCCUGUAUUUCCACAAUAUAGACAAAUUGUUUCAGUAAAUUAUUUUCUUAAACAUAUGCAAAUUUUUAGCACUAUAACUGUCACGUAAUAGCUUAUAUUGAUCGCAUGUUCACCAAUAAAGCAGAAACAAAGACAUUGAAAUCACAAGGAUUCUAAGCCUAUGUAGAGAAAAUAUGUGUGCGAUCGGAUUUGAUCAUUGAAGAAAAAUCACCUCUUAUCCUCUGUUUUGGAUGGUGACAAGAAAAGGUCAUCUAUUUCAUACACAAGCCAAAAGUCUUGAUCUGAAAUAGAAAAGGUGAUUUUUCGGACCAACUUAGAGUGCACAUAGAUUAGCUUAAAAAAUUUAUCACUUACAAGUGUUUUGUUGCCUUUUUUUUUGCAUGCAUACAUUCUCAGUAUCCUUAUGAUUUCAAUGUCUUAUUUUAUGCGUUAUUGGUGAACAUGACAUCAAUGCACGCUUUUAUGUGGCAAUUACAUGCUAAAAAUUCACAGCAAGAUGUGCAAUAAUAAUUUGAUGAAAGAUGUUGAGGUAAUAGUUGAUGAUCGGAAUCGCUUAAUAGGAGAAUUGUGAUCCUUUGCACGAUUUUUCUAUUCAUUAGUGUAAUGCCUAGAGUAUAAUUUCUAUUACAUAUUGUUACUUUUUGACUUGUCUAGUGAUGAAUGAAGCUAACCACACUGAAUAAGACUAACAAAUAAGCAUCUUUGGGCAACUUGCACCGACUAAAAUAAAUGUUGAGAUUCACCUAACAAUGGCUAUCAUACAGCCGCAAGUCAUCAAAGAUAGCUAGACGGUUCAAUAAAAAGAAUAAAAAUGCACUGCUUUGGGCGAAACAACAAAAAGAGUUAGGCACACCAACUAAUCCACCGAGCAAGUUGCUUUAUCUUAUAGUGGAAAUAGAAAACGAGUCUCAUCACCAACUAAUCCAUUAAGCAAAAAGUUGCUUUGGGCUAACUUUUUCUGUUCAAAUGCCCACAAUUUCUCUCUCAAUGAUUCACGAUCAUCAACAACUACAGCACCCUUCGGUAGAUCAUCGCCGCCCAUCUUCAUCCAUUACAGAAUUCCCGGCACUUAGAGGAAGGUUAACAGAGAGCGAGAAGGACGAGAGAUAAAGAAAAAAUCAGAGAGAGAAGGGAAAAUGGACGGAGAACCUUACGAAAAGCUGAUCCUCGUUAUUCUUUAGUGAUUUCUUGCACCAUUCGCUGUCAUUCCUCGCUGUAAACCAUCGUCAGUAGCUGCUCCCGCGUCAACCUUGUUCGGCUCUGUUUUUGGCCGAGAAGGUCUGCAUAGUCCAAAUCUCCUAUGAAUCUCCUCCACUAGUUCUAGUUUCGUUCAUGGAUGAUGGUGAAAGCUUCAAUCAUCAACUCGUAUGCUCGUUGCUCUCCCAGCAUAGGUGACAAACCACGGACCCUCGGUUUCUGAUCUACCCUGUUUUGACUAGAUUAAAGGCCGAACCAUGUUGACUUUGCUAAAUCAUUUAAGAUUUGAGUUGUUUCUCGAUGAUUGGUACUGAUAUAUAUAUAUAUAUAUAUAUAUUUUUUGGGUGUUCGUAGUAGUUUCGGAUCUUCCAUGUUCUGGGAAUGGUUUUGUAAAUGAAUUGAGCGUAAGAAGAAAGCGAAGGGCAAAGAAUACAGAAUAAGAAGAUUGGGCUUUAUAUUGGAAAAUAGAAUCAGUGUGGGUUCAGGGCUUAAUCCAUCUAGAAAUUAGGCUUAAGGUAGGCUCGAUGCGUUUAAAAAGGUGGGCUUAUUGCAGUCGUCUUUCAAGAUGAACUUAACAGGAGUGUAUCUGAAAUUGGGCUUUGAAAGUUCUUUUUAAAUUGAAGUGGGCUUGAUAUAGGAGCCUAGUGAUGUCCCCAGCUAAAGAUCCAAAACCCGUGAGACCAGAGAUGCGACCCAAGUUCCAACCGGGCCCGGGGACCCGAGUCCCCAUUUACCAGAAAUAAAUCUAUACAGUUCGAAAAAUGACCAAUUAAAGAAUGGCUAGGUCUUGGUUAGGUUAUUAGUAGGGAUGUGUAAAGAAAUCGAAAAUCAUUAGAAAUUAAACCGGACCAACCCAUAACUAAUAGUUUCCACGAGAACUAAUUUGAUUUCAAAUUCCAAUUUAUUAGAACCAGUAAGUACCGUAUCAAAUUCUAAUUUUUUCGGGUGUGAAAUUGAUCGUUCAUUCAGAUCAGACUUGUAUACAUAUUUACUUUUUUUUAAUUCAAUUACUUUAUUAUUUUAUAAUAUUCCGAUCAAUAUAUUUGUAGCGCUAAACUAAAAGGAGCUCGAGCUCCGUAAGGCUCGAGCCCUUUCAACCCUUCGAACUUAUGCAGCGCGAGGCCGUUCAGCCCGGGCGGCGAUCUCUUCACCUGCAAGCACGCCAGCCCCACCGAACUCCCCAGCUCGCUCGGGAACAAGUUCACCUCGUUCGCGAAGAACUUCACAGCGUCUUCAGCCUCCGCAGCUCCCCCACCCACUUUGGGAGCAAACUGAACUCGUUCUUAUAUACAAAUACAAGUCCUUCACCGCGGACCCCUUCAAGGCCGGGGACAGCAGCGGGUACUCCAGGUUCUCCCCGGACACGUCGAGGCACAAAUCGUCGUCCGAACCGCCGCCCCCGCCCUGGCCGGCGGCGGAAUCGCGGGUCGGGCUCGGGGGCUCCGGGUUCUCGGGAGGGGCGGCGUCGAACUCUCCUUGCUUUGCGGCGGACCACCCCCGAUUCGAUUGGAUUGGAUUCGAUUCUAUUCGAACGAGAACACGAGAAGAAAGAUCGAGACUUCGGGACGGAAGAGGGAUUUCGCCAAGGGAAAGGGGACGAUUCUUGGAACGACGCGCGGAAUUUCGAAGAAAUCGGCAGGGGAAGGGAAGGGAACGGCGAUGGAGGUUUCGCGAGGAGGAGGGGAAACCCUAGACGACGACGGUCAAAGGAGGAAACGGGAGCGAAAGGGAGCCGUGGGGAUAAAAAGAAGAAAAACGAUUGCCAGCGCUCUCUGCGGAAAGUCCUAACUGCCCUCCGCUUUUAAGCCUCAGCCGGCGCGCGCGGAGGGCGUGAAUUUCGAGUUCUGGUGAGGGCGUUUCGGGGAAAGGCUUGGUUGACUGAACCCGCGACGGGUCCUUGUUUUUGAAUUUUAGGGCGCGUUUGGCAACGAUUCUGUUCCCGGGAACUGAUUCUGACAAGAAAUUAUUAUUUUUGAUUCUGUUCCCGGGAACUGAUUAUGAGUAAAAAAACGUGUUUGGUAACUGUAUAAAAUUUUUGAUUCUAGAAUAGAAUUGCGUUUGAUAACGUGUCAAUUGAUUAUGUUCCAAAUUAUUUUCUUUUUAUUUUUAAAUAAUUUUUUCUACUUUUUUUUUUUUUUUACCUUUUUUCCUUUUCUUUUUUCAUUUUUUCCUUUUUCUCCUAUUUUUCUUUUCUUCUUGUGGCCGGUCGCCGGACCGGCGACCGGCCGGAUGAGGGCCGGUGACCUCACUAGAGCGUCGCCGGCCCUCGGCGAGGCUGGCCCUCGUCGGCCGAGCGUCGCCGGCAGCCUCGCCCAGCUGCCGGCGACGCUCGCCCAGCCUCGCCGAGGCUCGGCCUCGCUAGAUCUGGCGAGGCUGAGCGUUGCCGGUGGACAGGCGGGCCUCGCUGGGGCUGGGUGAGGCUCGCUGGGGCUGGGCGAGGCCCGCUUGGCCACCGGUCAGGCUAGGCGAGCCCGGCCGGUGGCUAGGCGGGCCUUGCCUAGCCCCGGCGAGCCUCGGCCUCGCCAGAUCUGGCGAGGCCUCGCCUCGCCGGUGGACAGGCGGGCCUCGCCGGGGCUGGGCGAGCCUCUGGCGAGCUCGCCGGACCUCGCCAGUGGCUGGGCGAGCCUCCGGCGGAGCUCGCCGGUCCGGCGGCCGGUGAGCCUCCGGCGAGCUCGCCGGACCGGUGGCCGGCGACGGCGGCCGGCGGUAUGCGACGGUCGCGUGAUGGCGGAAGGAAAGAAGAAGAGUUUUAUCGUGUUGAUUCUUUUUUUGAUUCUCGGACGUAGAAUCAAUUUUUUUUUUUAUUCUCAAAUCUACUCCAAAACUGAUUCUGGGAACAAAUUUGUUCCCGGGAACAAAAUUUUUACCAAACGCGAUUCUCGUCCCAAACUGAUUCUGGGAACAAAAAAUCAGAAAUUUUCACUGUUUGGAGUGUUGCCAAACAGGGCCUUAUUGUUUCUUAUUUUUUUUCCCUUGUGUGAGAAAGGAAGGUGAGGCUACCGUUGGUAAGAAAUUUCCCCCGAGUUAUGUCCCGGUGCUUAGCGAUUACGCUUGAGGGUAGGUCCGAGAUAAAUGAGUCCGUCAUUGCAGCCCAUUAAAGGCCUAUUUGAUAACUUGCCAAACAGUAAUUAUUUUUGUUCUUUUAUUUCUUGAAAUAAAAAAAGAACAAAAAUUCAAUUAGUAAAAUUUUUGUUUCCAGUAACAACUCUAACAUCAAGUCUAAAUCAUUUUCUUUUUUCAACUAGAGGAAGAAGAAGAAGAGAAGGAAAAAGAAAAAAAAAAGAGAAAAUAAAAAAUGUAAUAAUAUUAUUUAAAAUUAAAAGAAAUUAUAAGUCAUGAAAAAAUUUAAGAAGUCUACUAAAUGCAUUUCUAUUCAGAAAAUAGAAAUUUUGUUCAAUUAUCAAACGCUUUCAAAUGUUCCGAGACUCGUCUAGGGAACAUAAUCAGAAAAAACUAUUUAUUUGUAGAAAUUAUUUUCAGGAACAAAAUAAUUACCAAACGUAUGUUAAAAGACUAUAACUAGACAACCCUCUUUAUAGUGAUAUUCGGCUCAUGACGAUCAAUAAUGUGUAAGUUUGUUGCUAAUCAUUAGACCUGUUAAACAAAUGAGUCAAAUAAGAUUUUCUUUUGUUUGUUUUGAAGUCCGAUUGGAUUUGAGGGGAUUGAAAAUGGGUAUAACCCAAAUUGAUCCAUUUUUUAUUUUUAUUUUUAUCCAAUACAAUUUUAGCGAUCUAUAUCCAACUUGAUCAGGAAUUAACUUAUACCCAACCUAGUCUAUUCUUAGCGAUUGUUUCCCUUAAAUAACUAACAAAUUAAAAAAAAAAAUUGUCAUACAAUUAAAAACAAGUUAAACAUGAAAAAUGAGCGACAAGAAAAAAUUCUAUGAAUUAAGUUGUAAGAAUACAUCUAUUAUCUCACUUAGUGCAAGAAUUUUAUCCAAGUAUAAGAAACCAUGUAUGGAAAUAUAUAUAUAUAUAUAUAUAUAUAUAUAUAUAUAUAUAUAUAUAUCUCUGUGUGUGUGUGUGUGUGUGUGUGUGUGAGAGACAUAUUUUUUAGUCUCAUAAGCAAUAAAAGAAUUAUGAAAAUACUCAAAUUGUAAAUCAUGUGAGGAUUGCGUAAUUUGAUAUUCUAACUUCUAACUUCACAAUGAAGUUGUGUGAUUAAGUCCUUCUAUCACUGGUAUGGUCACAAUGUCAGUGAAUGAAAUAAGAGACAAGCAAUCAAUUUAAUUUCAAGCGUUUGAAAAUAUACUUAAAAUAUGUAGAAUAUAUGGAAAAUAUACAAAGAUUAUCAGGAAAAUAAUCAUGGAGGAAAUCUCUAUUGAGCUGUAGCCUUGUUAUCUAACAAUAACAUACUCCAAAAUAUACAAGAUUUUAUAAAUUAUUAAUGAAGAAUUUUUUAUUAUUAGUUAGAUAAUAUAGGGGGAUUGACUUAUGGCAUACCACAACCAAUAUCUCUUCUUAUUUCUAUAAGGCAUCAGAGGAAAAAUUUCAACUCUAGUAAAACAUUUUUUCUAUUUCAGAGAUUUUAAACACAAUUAUUUUCUGCACCCAAAAAUUGAAAAGGGAAAAACAAAAACGAAUAGACCGGUGUUUCUUUGGGCUCGAAAAGCCCAACUCAUAUGUCGUACCACAAGGACAGACAAACCGAGAGAGAAAGUGGCACCGUUAGGCCAAAGUAGCUUCUUUUGAUUAGAUUGUUUAUUUAUUUAUUUAUUUUUUGGAUCAAAGAUUAGUCGAGUUGAAAGUGGGUUCUUUCUGGACAUAUUAGAUCUCAUUGUUAUGUAGUCUUUACUCUAUUAGAUCAAUUUGAACAAUUAUUAGAAAUUUUGGGCGACUCAUAUGUCACCCAUCCCAUUAAGUAUGAGUUGAGAAAUGGGUGUAUGAUCCAUUAUGUCACAUCUACUAAUUCUAUGUAAGAUUAUAUUAAUAAUUAAGGACGUAGGGGGAGAAGCCCAAGGUGGGCUUGUUAAGGUUGAAAUGGCAUUUCCACGUUUGAGCUUUAGAUCGACACUGCUUGAUUUUGAAAACUUUGCGAAAGUAGCAGAACAGGAAAAUCUUGUCGAUGAAGCUUUUUUUGAAGGAGAAACAGUUGGAGCUACUUAGGGACUCUUCGCGACAAGACGGGAGCUCUAUUGGAUGGCUUUGCUCUGAAGGUUCCAGCUUUAUUGGCUUUUCAGUUGGAAGCCAUGGCCCUACUCAAAGCUUUGAAACGUUUUCAGUCGAGGGGAGAGAGAGUUUGCUGGAGCUUGAGUCUGACUGUGAAGAGCUAAUCGAUGCAAUGAUGAAGAUGAUGCACGUGAGGCGAGAGAUGCAAGCUUUAAUUCAGGAAUCGCGGCUAUCUUUGCCCCAAUUUCAAUUUCUCUCCUUGGCCCACUGUCAUCGAUUCGUAAACAAAGUGGCUGAUCAGAUUACGAAAGUCCAACGUUCGAAUACUCUCCCAUCCUCUUAGGUCGACCGCUCUCCCCAACCUUUAUGGGAUCUUUUAUGUCUGGAUGUCCCUUUGUUGGGCUUUUGAUUUAAAGACUCUUGAUUUUAAUAAUUUUGUGAAGUAUUUCGACAAAAAAAAUAAAAUAAAAUGAAGAAGACGUGGGGCGUUGCUUGCCGAGCCAAAGCAAAAGGAAAAACCUAGGAAAGUUGACAAAAUAAGUGUAAGAUGUGAGAAAUUCUAAUUCAAAUCUUAGAUUGUAAGAUAUUUAUGGGAUUGGAUUGACAAUUAUCAUGACUAUUUUAAACUGCGAUUCUUUGUCCAUUUUUUAAUCUAUAUAUACAAUAUAUAUAUAAAAUAUGUAAAACAAAAAGUGGGUAUUUAAUGGAAAAUUUUAGCAAAAAAAUAGAGCUCCAAAUCUAUUUACUUUAAUAUUUUCUUUUCACUAUUUGCAAUUCUAGAGAAAUCACAAAUCCCAUGAUAAAAGAUUAAAAGCCAAUUUGAUGAACUUGUCAGCGCUUUCGUGAAUUCUGUUAAUGAUAUUUGCACUUGAUAAGGUACGUUCUAUAUUUUUUCUUUUGGUGCGUGCAACUGGAAAAUUUUAUGUGGUGAGGGAGAACCCGCCGUCGAAAUUCUAUUUUACGCUCGUCCGUGACCCGAAUGUGAAUGGUAACAAUUAGCCGCACACCAUUGACCCAUCCCUCUUCACUGACGUUCCUCCAACUUCGUCAUACAUACUUCAACUGCCUUGGAAUCCGUCGACUUUGAACAAGCAUCAUUUUCAACUUGGAUUAUCUGCAAAAUAAUUGCGCUCAAGCUGUUUCGGCCAGGAAAAGAUAAAUGGUACUAAGGCUGCGUUUGGAAACUACUUUGGAAAGGACUUUGGACACCUAAAGUCCUUUGGGCUAAGUAUAGGGGUAUUUGGCAAAAAAAAUUUAACCCCCAUUUGGAGAAUGCCAGCCUUGUGAAGGCUAAAAGCCCAAGGCAGGUGAGGACUUGUCUUGGGCUUUCAGCUUUCUUGGCAUGCCCACGUGACAUUGUUCAUUUUUUUCCCGAAAUUGUCCUCACGAAUUUUUUGUUUUUCCGUUUUUUGCCCUUUUAUGAGACACUGUUCAUCUUCUCCGGGCCGGCGACUGCUAGAGGGAUGCCGACAUGGUCGCGAUAACCUAGGUGAUCGUCAUAAGAGAGUUGGGCGACCUUCGUGAGUCGCGGCGUUGCCGGCGACCAUCGCCUGCCGCAUCGCGACCUCCGCACGGAGCUCGCCGGGGCCGCGUGACCCAUUUGGUUGCAGGUCUUGUCGAUACCAGAUCUGGUGCCGGAGGCUGAGCGGUGACCAAAUUUGGGUUGCCUGACCUCGCCGACCCUGGAUCUGGGUCGCAGCGGUGUCAUGCGACCUCUUGUGACCUUGCCACCCCAAAUUCGGGGGCAGAAAGGUUGUGUGACCCCGCCGCGACCUCGACGCCCCGGAUCUAGGUCGCCGGAGGUCAAGGUGGCAUUGCGCGACCUCGCCGCCCCAGAUCCAGGGUUGCCAGAGGUUGAGGAGGCGUUGCGUGACACGCACGACCUCAUUGCCCCGGAUCCGAGGUCGCCGGAGGUCGCGACGGCGUCGCGUGACCUCGCUGCCCCAGAUCUGAGGUCGCCGAAGGUCACCGACGACUGUCUGCCCUUGCCGGUCAAAUUUUUUUAUUUUUCUUUUGCUAAUAUUUUUUUUAUCACAAAAGUCCUUUGUCCCCCAAAUACCAUUUUGCUCAAAGACACUUCACAAAAAGGCUUUCAAAUUACAAUUUAUUAAACAUAGUUUGCAUUUUGAAAGUACCUUUCACAAAGGGCUUUCAAACUACAAUUUAUCAAACACAGUUUGCAUUUUGAAUAACACAUUUAACUCAAAGGUCUUUGCAUUUUUCUAAAAACUUUCCCAAAAAGUCUUCCCAAACGCACCCUAAAUGUUGGUAAAAUAUGGCUUCGAAUUGGUAGUAUAAUGAAGUCGGAUCUUUAGAGUACUCAAGUGAGACUUUGAGGCGUGAUAUUACUUUCUUUAAAAAUUUAUUUGCUCCACAAAGUUGCUAAUCAUUACCGGCAAAUUUCUUCCAGGAUACAACAAAAUCUCAAAUGAGAAUACUAGAUAGCAAUUCUAAUAAUUCUCCAGGGUUUCUCUAGGAAACAAUUAGAAAUGAUGGUUGUAGUUUUUCAGAAAGAACACUUGAAAAGAUAAAAAUGAUCGCACACUAUUCAUCUGAAAACUCACAUGUAUAUAUAUAAAAAAAUUCUAAAACAUAGAUAACUCUUCACGAUAAUUACGAAAAUGAACAAAUGUAUCAUUUUGGAAAUUGCCCAAAUGAACAAAGGCAUCCAUUCGUAAGAAGUUAAAAAAUGAACAAAUACAACUCUUUGGGAAAGGUUGCAAACUGAACAAGUAUCAUUUUCAAAGGUUAUAUAGAAAAGACACAAACAAAAUUCGGAAUAAUAAUAAUAAUAAUAAUAAUAAUAAUAAUAAUAAUAAUAAUAAUAAUAAUAAUAAUAAUAAUAAUAAUAAUAAUAAUAAUAAUAAUAAUAAUAAUAAUAAUAAUAAUAAUUUUUUAUUAAAUAAAUAAAAUUUCGAUUUUUUUAUUAUUUAAAUAAUUUCCGAAAAGUCUCAAAAAAAAAAAAGCCUUUGAAUUUAAAGUUAAUAAGAUAACCAUAUGAAAGAAAAAAACAAAAAAAAAAUAACAAAGGGAUUAAUGCUAAUUAAAGCGUAGGCACGAAAACUGCGCCAAAAUUGCAUAUUUGUACGCGGGUAUGGUGAGGUCUAACCCACACCAAAUUAUUCAUUUAGAUUUACUAAAGAAACCCCACACUUAUUAAUUGGCUCACUUCCUCCCACUUUUUCUAUGUGUGACAAGGAAACUUGCACUUAGUUUGUUUUUACAAACAAACUUCCAACACUAAAGAACAGCCUCAGUCACUGUAAUGUCUCUCUUUUUCUGUUCUUCUUGAUAAUCUCUGCAGGACUGUUCUUUGUUGCACCCUUUCUUACACCAGAAAGAUUUCUACAGCUUUAGGUCUCAAGUUUCCACGACAAGGGACGUAUCUAGGGAUAUGGGCAAAGAAAAGCCAAAUUUGCUAUAGCUCAUCAGAUUGAUCGGUUGGUUGUGGGGAUGGAGCCGACAGAAGUUCUUGAUAUGCAAUACCCAGUUGAAAGGAUAUACAGCACAGGUUCUGUUUGAGAUUCAAACUACAAGAGGCAUGGAAAAGCAGUGUUGUUGACCUGUUAAGUUAUGUGAUGUUAUGGGUGGAGAACAAGGGUGAAGCUCUUGCCAAAUUUUUUAUUAACAAUGUGUUGGCGGGAUGCGCAAAAUGUGUGGCCAUCGGUCCAAAAAGCUGACGAAGCCUGUAUAUUUCUGGGCUGGCAGUCAAUGUUUAAUGUCAAACCUAAAUUGCUAAAAACAAAAUAAAUUGCAAGUUGACAACUUCCCCAUCUUAUUACCUGGAAAAAAAGAAAAAUGGACUGUCAUUUCUAUGCCUUGGCCCUCUUCCUUCCAGUUGGUAAAUGAAGUUUCAAUAGAAUAAUAAAUAAAAGAGAAUACUUUUCUUGCUGCAGAUCUCUCUAAACGCUCCCCCCUGACUGAAGCAGAAUACAGAUUGGAAGAAAAGAACAAGGACCCUUGUCUGCAAUCUUGUUGUUUUCAGAGUUUAGGCAAAUUGAUGAGGUAAGAGCUCAGAUUUGUUCUCUUUUGAUGGCCAAGUGAACGGUACCCUAUUGAUUUUCAAUUUAUGUUUUUCCUUAUAAUUCUUUUUUUUUAGUGGGAUCUCGUUUGUUCUUAAAAACAGCGGUUCAGGAUUUGUAGUUGAAGAUAGCCCUUAACUGUCUCAUCAUGUUGUUCUCUUCUCAUUCCUUGUAUCUUUAAAUUUGGUAAUAUAAUACUUUCAGAUUUGGAUGCAAAAACUUAUCUUUUGCAUGUUCAGGGCUCACAGUUGGUCUGCAGAUAGCCCUUAACUGUCUCAUCAUGUUGUUCUCUUCUCAUUCCUUGUAUCUUUAAAUUUGGUAAUACAAUACUUUCAGAUUUGGAUGCAAAAACUUAUCUUUUGCAUGUUCAGGGCUCACAGUUGGUCUGCAGAUUGCUUCUUCAGUGCUGAUGGAUUUAUGAGAUGGGCUUAAGGCCCAUCCGCUCAAGUUGGGCCCAAAAAGGCCCGGCCCAUGGGAAUAGGGCCUGUGGAUGGGGAAAGGUAUAAAAGGAAGGAGAGAGAGAGAGAAGACACCUCUUGGCAUUAGGGGUGUGCAACGGGAACCGCCCGAACCGGGAACCGGCCGGACCGGACCGAACCGGUCGGUUUUGGGCGGUUCCCACGGUCGACGGUCCGGUCCCCGGUUCCUAAUCUUGGAACCGGUGGCCGGUCGGUCCGGUUCCCGGUUUCAAGGUGGGAACCGGACCGACUGGACCGACCGGACCGAACCGGACCNNNNNNNNNNNNNNNNNNNNNNNNNNNNNNNNNNNNNNNNNNNNNNNNNNNNNNNNNNNNNNNNNNNNNNNNNNNNNNNNNNNNNNNNNNNNNNNNNNNNUUUAUAUAUAUAGAAUUAAUAAAACAUAUAAACAUGAUAACUUAUUGCAACCAAAAUUGCAAUUUGAGGUAGCAACCUCUUAUGUGGCCAAGAGACCAUUAAAAUCCUUUUUAUUACUUUUUUAUUUAUAGAAAAAAUCUCGUUGAUAGUUUCGACGUGGGAGUAAGACUUCAAGAGUUUCCGUGAAUCACACAAGUGAAGUUUGAAUAUUUUGCACGUGGAACACGUGUGAUUAGUUUUGUUGAAUUGCCCGAGAAUCGAAUUGAAUUGAUCAGUCAAGAGUGCGGUCACUCUUUAGUUCUUCAGUGCAAAAAAGUAUAGUUGAUUUUUUGGACCGGACCAGACCGCACCGGAACCGAUGGAACCGAUGGUCCGGUCCGGUUCCCGGUCCUAGGACCAAACGGUCCGGUCCACGGUUCGCAAUUUUGGGAACCGGUGCUCCCGGUCCGGUUCCCGGUUCCAAGGUGGAACCGGACCGAACCGGGAACCGAUCACCCCUACUUGGCAUAACGAACAUAACGUACGUUUCUUUCCCUCUCUUUUUCUCCCAAACGCUCAAGGCGACGCCAUAUCCCCUUCAGGGCGAAUUGACAUCAUUGGGGCCAGAAUUUCUUCCUCUUCUUCAGCGUUGGUGUUUAAUCUGUGGCUAACAAGGUACGCUUGAAUCCGUGGUGUGCUUUACGAUCGGUGAUGCGUGUUUUCCCGGGCUUUGUCUUCCGCAUUGAUUUAGUGAUUCGAUUCGGUGUCGAAUCCGGUUUUCGGGGAUCAGUCAUUACCAACAUUGGUAUCAGAGCCCUAGUUCACGUUUUUUCCCGAUCAAUUCUGAUGUUUUUGAUUGAUUUUUCGUGAAAUCCCUUCGGCCGUACGGAACCGGGCGAAAAUCCCGACACCCGAGCGCUGUUCGGCCAUUUUUCUGCGUUUUCGUAAGUCGAAAUUAAAUUCUGAAAGCAUUGGGUGAAAGAGGUCGUCGAGACGAGUUCGGCGACAUGUUGUGCGUCGCCGGACGACGCCGCACGCGCCCACACGCGCAGCCACAAGCCGCUGUGCGUGGGCGCCACGCGCCCGAAGCGCUGGCAAUGGCCAGCGCGUGCGCCACACACGCCGGUGACGAACCGGCACGUGCGCGCCAGCGACCGGCGAAACGGCACGCACUGGUCCGCGGACCGACGCGUGCUGACGUCACGUGAUGACGUCACCGUGACGUCAUCCAACGGUCGGUAACCGUUCGGAUGAUGUCACCGAUGACGUCAUCACUGACGUCGUUUCGCCGGACGGUCACCGGCCGGUGACCCGACCCACCGGAGACCAAGGCACGUGGCAGGCACGUGCGGAUGACGUCUUCGUGACGUCAUCCCCCGCACGCGCGCGGCACGUGCGUCGGUCCGCGCGAGCGGUCCGACCGGCCCGACGGGUCCGUCCGGUCCGACCGGUCCGACGACCGUUGACCGUUGACCACCGUUGACCGACGACCGUUGACCGUUGACUUUGACCGUUGACCGUUGACCCGAAAAAAAAAGAAAAGGAAUUUGUUUCUUUUUUUUUCAAUUAUGUCUGUGUGGGUUGUAGGUAAUCCAUUUUUAUUCUGCAUUUGUUGCAUGAAUCAUGGAAAUUUAUGUAUUUUCCAUUUUGUUUAUUAUGGAUUAUAAAUGAUCCAUUUUAGUUCUGCAUUUGUUGCAGGAACUAUGAUGCGUUAUGCACGGAUACCUGCAGUCCCAACAACGGACGAAGGAAGAGCUAGACUGAAAAGGUUGACAAUGGAGUUAGCUGAUUAUCGGUGGCUUAAUGGUGAUUUAGUAUCACAUAUGGUCAAGGUCAAUAAGAUGAUACAGGAAAUCAUCUGGAAUGGUUACCUUAUGCCGGACUUUGAGAAGGUGCCGGCUUUGAUGAACACUCUUCCACCUGAAUGGCAAGCAGUGUUAGAUCGGCUAUGGGAGGUCAACGUGGUCCCGGAUUACAGGGGGCUAGUGGAAGCUUUUGUAAGAGAGUACUAUAGGAUUGAGUUGGCCAAAACUUCAACCCUUAGAUUGAGCACCACAUGGCACAGAGUGAAUGCGCCUUGGUGGCGACAUGAGAGCUCUCCAAAAUUUUUUCCAUGGUUGGCAAAUGUACCUUCAUUUUUUCUCAGAUGUUUUAACUGAUAGAUUAGAAGGAACAUUCCCUAAUUAUUUCUUAGAUUAAUUGUGGGAUUUUUUUUUAUGGAUGUAAAUAUCUCUUUCCAUGUUGAUAUUUUUCUCUGUAUAUAUUGCUUAGUGUAAUGUAUAGUUGUAUCAUGUGAAAGCAUUGUUAUUUUAUUCGAUGUUAGAUAAUAUUUGCUUUCUGUUACUGCUGAUUGUUGUGGGUAGUUAGCUGUGGGUAGUUAUAGAAGUUUUUGUAACUUCAUAGAAUUGAUUUUGCAUAUGACAAUCAUAUUAAUGAUGGUUUUAAGUUAGGAUUUUUGGAGGAUGAUUGGAAACGUAGUGACCUUUUGAUUCUGAAGCCUUACUUAAAAUUAUUCAUUAAUAUGAUGGGUCUAUGUAAAAGUGGAUGCAUAAAUGAUAGGCAUUAAUAAUUCGUGCAUGUAUGUCUGAUGUGUUCAGAUCGAUAUUUUCAGCAACUAAGAACGUUAUUGCUGAUAUGAACGACAACAAUUGUGAAAUAUUGAAUAUGAAGAUUCAAUAUGUGCUGGAAAAGCAAGAAGCAUUAGAAGCUCUUGACCAUAUUAUGGAAGAUCUAGAGGAUGCUGUGCGCCACCUUGAGCUAGUAAAGGACUGACUAUCGGCAUUUGAGCCGAAAAUAAACAUAGGCUAUGCUGGUUCUAGCUCAGAAAGGGCUUUGAGCUCUAAGCGCAAACGUAUUGAUUCGUUCAAUAUGUGGGAAAGCAAAGGAUCAAGUCCUUAUUGCAAGAGAUCAAGAGUUAACCAACACAAGAGAGGAAAACGUCUUCAAGUGAAGAAAAUGUCAAGGGUGAGGUGUUACAAUUGUGACAAGAAUGUCACUAUGCUCGCAAUUGUUGUGAGCCGAAAAAGGUAAACACCUCUUGUACAUUUGAGAACUUUGAUUAUGUGUCAAAUUCUGCAUUAUUAGCUGAAUCCAAUCCUUUGUGGACUGUAGAUUCAUGAGCAACAGACGAUGUAGCGAAGGAUAAAGGAUCCUUCGUAGAAUUCCGACGAUACCAACUGGAACUAAGUGGAUCUAUGUGGGAAACAGCUCCAGAGCUGAAAUUAAAGGGAUUGGCACCUGCCAAUUGAACAUGCGUGGUGGACGCAACUUGUUCUUACAUGAUGUUCUAUAUGCUCCGGAGAUUCGUCGAAAUUUAAGUGUCUGUUUUGAUGCAUUGGUUAAGCUUGGUUUUUUAUAUGAACUUCCAUAAUAGAGGUGUAGAUUUGUAUUUGGAUACGAAUUACUAUAGUUGUGGUCACUUUCUGGAUGGUUUUAUUGUAAUAGAUGUUGACUGUGGCGAUGUUAAUAAUUGUUAUUCCCUUGUUUCACGUCUUCUCUACUUCACAUGAUAAUGAUGUGAAUGUUUGUUUCACGUCUUCUACUUCAUAUGAUAAAGAUGUGAAUAUGUGGCAUGCUAGACUUGGUUAUAUGGGCCAGCAACAUAUGAAAAGACUAGCCAAAGAGGGCUUGUUGGGCAAUAUUGAAAAAGUUGAUUUGUCUAUAUGUGAGCAUUGCCUAUAAGGGAAAACGACAAGGAAACCAUUUAGAAAAGGUAAAAGAGCUGAAUUUCCUAUGCAUUUAAUCCGUUAUGACGUUUGUGGUUCAAUGAAUGUGAGAGGAAGGCAUGUGGCUGUUUAUUUCAUCACUUUUAAUAUAUGAUCAUACUCGAUUCGGAUGUGUCUAUUUGGUUUCUCAUAAAUCUGAAGCGAUAAGUUGUUUCAAAAGGUUUAUGACCCUGGUAGAGAAUCAAUUAGACAAGAAAAUAAAAGUAUUGAGAUCCGAUCGAGGUCGAGAAUAUUUAUCUGAUGAGUUCAGAAAAUAAUGUGAUGAAAAGGAAUAGAAAUAUAGUGGUCUAUUCCAUAUACUCCUCAACAAAAUAGUGUUGCAGAGAGAAGAAACAGAACCCUACUGGAAAUGGUUAGGUCCAUGAUGGUGUAUGCUAACUUACAUAUCACUUCUUGGAGUGAUGCGUUGUUAACUGCUGCCUAAAUACUUAACCGGGUGCCUUCUAAAUCAGUUAGUUCCACUCCAUAUGAGUUAUGGAUAGGUAGAAAACCGGACAUAGGUUUUCUUAAGUCAUGGGUUGUGCUGCCUAUAAUGAAUCCUCUCACAAAUUUGGGAAAUAUGGUCCCAAAUGAAAGAAGAGUAUUUUUAUGAGAUACUUCGAACACUCGAAAGGGUAUGUGUUCGUAGGUGAGCAGGAAAGUGGGAGAAUAACUGAAUUUUGAAUCACGGGAUGUCACAUUCUUAGUUGAUGAAUUUCCUUAGAGGGGCGAAAUAGGGGAAGAUUACUUCCUAUUUGAAACCUUGGAUCAAGAUAAUGAUAUUAAUGGAGUUCAUCCAAGUUGGAGUAAUAUGAGAUGUGAUGAAUUGAAUUCAACUCAUUCUCAAUUGCAAUCACCUGAUGUGACGACAUCAUCAUUACCUAAUCCAAGUGGGAGCAUAAUGGGGAAUGAUGUGCUAAGUGUACAAUGUCCCAUACGGUGAACAAGUCGCCAAAGUAUUCCCCAUCGAUGUUUUGACAUUGAAAGGGAAACUUUUAUAGUUGCUCCACAAGAUGAGUAUGAGCCAAGAAAUAUUAAUGAGGCUCUGAAUUGCCAUAGUAAGAAAAAAAAAUGGAUUAAUGCAAUAAAAGAGGAGAUGGAGUCAAUGAAAUCAAACCAAGUCUGGGAACUGGUUGAUCUUCCAAAAGGGACGCAGAGCUAUUGGGAACAAGUGGGUUCUCAAAAUAAAGCGAAAGGCUGAUGGCUCGAUAGAAAGGCAUAAGGCUCACCUUGUGGCGAAGGGGUAUAAUCUACAGGAAGAUAUUGAUUAUGAAAAUACAUUUUCUCCUGUAGUGAGAUUUACCUUGAUUCGCAUAAUUCUGGCAAUAGUGUUUAGCAUGGAUCUUGAGUUACAUCAAAUGGAUGUAAAGACUGCUUUCCUCAAUGGAGAAUUAUAUAUAUAUGGAACAAUCUGCUGGUUUCAUAGUGAAAGGCCAAGAAGAAAAGGUAUGUCGACUUUGGGGGUCGAUAUAUGGCCUUAAGCAGUCGUCAAGACAAUGGUAUAUGCGUUUUCAUAAUGCCAUAAUGGCAUAUGAGUUUACAAUGAUUGAUGAGGAUCAUUGUGUAUAUAUCAAAAGAUCCAAGGAUCAAUUUGUGAUCAUAUCAUUAUAUGUUGAUGAUAUACUGAUUGCCAGAAGCAAUAUGGAGUUGGUUAAUACUGUCAAGAGAUAGUUGUCUUCCAACUUUGAGAUGAAUGAUAUGGGAUUGUAAACCCAUAAACACUCCUAUUGCAAAAGGUGAAGGAUUGAGCCAUAGACUGUGUCCAAGGACUCCACAAGAGAAGGAACAAACAAAAUAUGUUCCUUAUGCUGGUGCUGUUGGGAGCUUGAUGUAUGCUAUGAUGUGUACAACACCCGACAUAUGCUUUGCAGUUGGAAUGAUGAGUAGUUACCAAUCCAAUCCAGGUCAAGCACAUUGGAAAGCCGUUAAGAGAAUACUAAGGUAUCUAAAGGGAACUGCUGAUUAUAUGCUGAGUCAUUGAGGAAAGGAUCUGCGACUCUAAGGCUAUUAUGAUGCUGAUUGAGAAGCAGAUUUAGAUGAAAGGAAAUCUACCUCUGGAUUUGUUCUCUUACCGAAUAAUGGCACCAUAUGUUGGAGCAGUAAGAAACAAAAGUGUAUAGCCUUGUCCACGAUGGAAACUGAGUCCGUGGCAUUAUCAACAGCAGUAUAAGAAGAUAUUUGGCUUAAGAGAUUAUUGGAUCAUUUAGGUGUUAUUGGAAGUGCUGCAGAUUUGUUAUUAGUUAAACUAUGAUAAUCAAGCAGGGAAAGUGUACACUAAAGAUCCAAAUAUCAUGGCAAGACCAAACAUAUAGAUACCAAGUAUAAUUUUGUCAAGGAUAUGUUUGCACGAAAGGAUGUGAACUUAGAGUACAUACUAUGCAUAGAAUGGUUGCAGAUCCUAUAACAAAGCCAAUACCUAGAGAUGUGCUUUGUGGCCAUGUGAAAUCUCUAGGACUGCGUAGAGACUGAUGUACUAAAUAUUGUAAUUUCCCUAAGUGUUCACAAUUUGAUGAAUUUGUGUUUUCAUCAUUAAUGCCUAUGAAUCUUUGUUUGAUCUUUAUGCAUCUUAAUGCUUAGUGCAUUACUUUAAGUUGAGAAGUAUGUCGGACAGAUAUAAGAUUAGCCCACUCACACGGGUAAUCGCCUCUAUUUACUGUGUGAUAAAUAGAGAUGAGACUGUUUUUAAGCUUAUUAUCUUGGUGAUAAUCGAGAGCUCAAGCUUAAAACACGCAUGUCACCUUAACUGAGUGUUAAGAUGAGGACAUAAUACUUACUAUGUCCGAAAGUAAAAAAUACCCCCGCAUGUUUUACUUUAUCUGUCUAAGAUGCCAGAUGUGAGUUAUGAUGAAUUUUGUAAAUGAGUAGAUACGUGAACUCAAGUUAGACAUUGGGUAUGUUUGAACUAUCAUCUGUACGGUAUUGAAAAGUGUAGACAUACGCUCCAUGGGAAAGGAGUUGAUACCGUAAUACGUAUUUCAUACUACGUAUGCAUGAGACGACCAAUAAGAGUGGCAAAAGUUUGAUCUCAACUUCUUCUUCUUUUUUAUGUCGUGUGAGACUCUUGAGGAAAAGAGUUCCUCAAUUUUUUAGUCCCCUCAUGACUCUUACUUAUUCUCAAGAUUUUUAUUUAGUGUUUGCUAUCUUAGGAUGUUGCCAAUGGUCAUGAGUUUGAUUCGAUCUAAUGGGGCAUUUCUAGAAAAGCAAGCUGAACUGAAAUUAAGAGUUUGAAGGAAAGAGGAAGAUCGAUUUUGGAGAAUCACAUUGUAGUUUUGUAUUCACCGGUUAACCAAUUAUGAUUGUCUUUGGGAUAAUCAUAAUUGUGAAUACAAUAUAUAUAUAUCAUUGUUUGAAAGAGAUCAAGAGAUAUAUAAAUGUGAUCAAUCGAUCUAGGGUACUACAUACUAAAUCUACUCAGGAUGUGAUGCCCAUUAUGAGCUACUAUAUAUUCCUAACAGAUGUAUGGCAACGAGCUCUCAAAGUAUGCUGGUCGCACGGAUUAUUCACCGGUAUGAAUGUUGAAGAGAGGAAAAGAGGAUUCUGUUCGGCCCACCAUGUUAAGUGAGAGUCUAUGAUGGAUUUUUCUCUAAUGGGGCUGAGUAGGGCCUGUCCGCCCAUGCUGGUUUUGGACCACCAUGUGCGAGUGGGAGAUGAUGGAUUUAUGAGAUGGGCUUAAGGCCCAUCCGCUCAAGUUGGGCCCAAAAAGGCCCGGCCCACGGGAAUAGGGCCCGUGGAUGGGGAAAGGUAUAAAAGGAAGGAGAGAGAGAGAGAGAGAAGACACCUCUUGGCAUAACGAACAUAACGUACGUUUCUUUCCCUCUCUUUUUCUCCCAAACGCUCAAGGCGACGCCAUAUCCCCUUUAGGGCGAAUUGACAUCAUUGGGGCCAGAAUUUCUUCCUCUUCUUCAGCGUUGGUGUUUAAUCUGUGGCUAACAAGGUACGCUCAAAUCCGUGGUGUGCUUUACGAUCGGUGAUGCGUGUUUUCCCGGGCUUCGUCUUCCGCAUUGAUUUAGGGAUUCGAUUCGGUGUCGAAUCCGGUUUUCGGGGAUCAGUCAUUCCCAACAAGUGCAAACAUCUUUGCAUUGGCGGAUGUACUUUGUUAUGCUUUUGACUAGUUUUAAAAUUUCAAUAGUCAUUUUUAAUUAGAAAGUGUAUUGCAGUUUAUGGACGUUACAUGAGAAAGCAAAUAUAAUGAGUUUCUAUUGUCUUUUUGGAUUGUUUAGAUUCAAUCACUUGGUGUUUUGAGGAAACCUCUGUAUAGUAUGCAAAUUCAUCUACAACUCUACACUUCGCAGAGCAUUUUCAAGGUUUUCAGGACAAGCAUUGUGGGAUGAAAUUCAAGUUUUUUAGUGGGAUGAUUAGCCUCCGCAUUUGAAUUUCGAGUCUCACCAUCAAUAUGUUUCCUUUGAUUGAAGUUCUUGUUUCUCAUCCUUGAAGGUGGAACAAUGGCUAGUUCAAGGUCAGUGGCCUGGAAAUUUGUGGCUCUGUGUCAUCUUGCUGUCCAGCAUCUCGUUGGAGGGUACUCAACAUAUAGACAAGAUAUACCCGGUAUUUCAAGAGUCUCAAAUCGGUUCGCUCGACACUGGUGGGGUCUUUCUUUUGUCCAAAGGCUCGAUUUUCGGCUUCGGCUUUGUCCAGGCCUCCAGUCCUACUCUGUACUCGUUAGCUGUGGUUCAUUUCCGCAGCAACACCGUAUUCUGGUCCGCAAAUAGGGACAACCUGGUUACGAAUUCUGAUAUAUUUGACUUCGAUGAGAAUGGCAACGCGUUUCUGCAGAAAGCAGGAAGUACGGUGUGGUCAACUGAUACCAGCGGCAAAGGAGUUUACGCGAUAGAGUUGCGGGAUUCAGGAAACCUGGUUUUGCUCGGGAAGGACAGUACAGUCGUUUGGCAGAGUUUUGACCAUCCUACCGAUACGCUCCUAUCAAACCAAGAUUUUAGACAAGGGAUGAGGCUGGUGAACGCUGGGUCCAAGAACUGGACCUACACUCUCGAGAUUAAAUCUGGCGACAUGAUCCUUUCUGCUGGUUAUAUAACGCCUCAACCGUAUUGGUCGAUGGGGAAGGACAGCAGACAUUUGCAGAACAAAAAUAGCGGUCAGGUAGUCUCGGCCACAUUGGUAACGAAUUCAUGGAGACUCUACGAUGAGCGUGGGAUUUUGCUGUGGCAAUUCCCCUUUUCGGAUAAUAGCGACCCUAAUGCUACUUGGAUCGCUGUCCUGGGACAAGACGGGAUCAUCUCGUUCUCCAGCUUGGGCAGUGGAGGAUCGCCUGCUGAUUCUCCCGUGAAAAUACCUAGUGAUGCAUGCAGUACGCCCGAGCCUUGCGACCCAUAUCUAGUCUGUACUAAUGGUAACAUGUGCCGAUGUCUCUCGGCCCUCACUUCUCAUCCAAAUUGUGGUUCGGGGCUGAGUUCUCCUUGCGAUCACUCAAAGGCUUCAAUCGAUCUCAUUAAUGCGGGGCAGGGAAUCGGCUACUCUGCAAUUGGGUUUGUCUCGCCCUUGCUGAAUGCUAAUCUCAAUGGAUGCAAGAAUUCUUGCCUGAUUAAUUGUUCGUGUCUAGCAUUAUUUUAUCAAAAUAGUUCUGGAGAUUGUUACUUGUUUGACAGUAUUGGAGCCUUGCAGAGUUCUGAUCAGAAUUCUGGAUUUGUCUCUUACAUUAAGGUGCUCACUGGCGGCUGUGCGAAUGGUGGGAAUUCUCAAGGCAGUGGAAGCAACAAGAAACAUUUGCUAUAUGUUGUCCUCAUUUCUGUUUCCACAUUCUUUGUUGUUCUCGGGCUGAUUUAUGCUGAAUGCAGAUAUUCCAAGGCAAAGCCAACAUUGCCUGAAGCUCCUCAAGAGACUUCGGAGGAGGAAAACUUUCUCGAGUGUUUAUCAGGAAUGCCAGUUCGUUUCAGCUAUAAAGAGCUUCAAGAUGCGACGAAUAACUUUUCCAUGAAGCUAGGGCAAGGUGGGUUUGGCCCGGUGUACCAAGGGGCCCUACCAGAUGGGACGAGAAUUGCUGUGAAGAAAUUGGAAGGCAUUGGUCAGGGAAAGAAAGAGUUUCGAGCCGAAGUACACAGCAUCGGAAGCAUCCAUCAUCACCACUUGGUCAGGCUGAAGGGCUUUUGUGAGGAAGGAACUCACUGGCUUCUAGCAUACGAGUACAAGGCAAACGGGUCUCUCGAUAAAUGGAUCUUUAAGAAAGACAAGGAAGGCAUGUUAGAUUGGGAAACACGAUAUAAAAUUGCAAUUGGAAUGGCAAAAGGACUGGCCUACUUACACGAAGAAUGUGAUGUGAAGAUUGUUCACUACGAUAUAAAGCCAGAAAACGUGCUUUUGGAUGACAAAUUUAAAGCAAAAGUCUCGGAUUUCGGAUUGGCUAAGCUAAUGACAAGAGAGCAGAGCCGUGUUGUUACGAUGCUCAGAGGCACGAGAGGUUACCUCACACGGGAGUGGAUAAUAAGCUGUGCCAUAUCUGAGAAGAGCGAUGUCUAUAGUUACGGGAAGGUUCUGUUUGAGAUAAUUGGCGGAAGAAGGAACUACAACCCCGAGGAAACAUCGGAGAAAUCCUAUUUCCCCCUCUAUGCUUUCAAGAUGAUGGAAGAAGGGAAGCUGAGAGAGAUACUUGAUCCGGGUUUUGAGAUCAACGAAAGAGACGAUACGGUUUCUAUCGCUAUUAAAGUUGCAUCAUGGUGCAUACAAGAAGAUAUGAACCUGAGACCGUCAAUGUUAAAAGUCGUCCAAAUGCUUGAAGGUGUCUUUCUGGUUCCUCAGCCGCUGACUUCUUCCCCACAAGGUUGUGGAUUUUUUCCGAGGUUUUUCAAACCAGAAGACCACAGCAACACAAAUCUUUCAGCGGUUCAGCUUUCAGGUCCGAGGUAACAGCAAGUCGUACAUCGUCGGGAAUUUUUCUGCUGGGAAGGAUGAUCACUGUUUUUCCUCCUUGCUGUGUGUAGCAAGUGCUUCCAGAAAUUCAAGCACAACUAGUUGAUGAUUCAACUAUGACAGUGACCAGAGAGAAGAAAAAAAAAAUAUGACAGUUGAUGCGUUGAACCAAAUUACAUGGCUAGAGUGUGCAUGGUCUGUUGAGCUUACAUGGCCAUCCAAGUUAUACCGCGUUUCCAUGCUAGCAAGUGAAUAGUGAAACCAAAAAUGGUACAUCUCCAGGUGAAGAAAAAACUGGAGGUGUACAUCUCCGGAUUUCAACGUAAAAGCAGUAUCACUUCACAUAGGGUCAACUAGAGCUAAUUCUUACUCUCGAGAGGUAAUAUGGGAAGAGUUGCAUCAGUAGCUCGAGACAUCAAAAAAAUGUAUCGACUCUGCAAGUUUUGGGGUCCUUUGAAGUAUAAAAGAGGCAUAACCGUCACAUUGGAGAUGCUGACAGGUAUUUGCCUGCAGAAGUUUGAGUCCUCUUGCACCGAGGAUUGAUCAGAUUGCAAUGAUGAGGAAGAGAGAUCUCUAUGAACUAGGCAAGCUCUUAAUUUUCCAGGUAUGCAGCUCCUGGGUUCCCGACCUGACCGUCAGAGCGCUCGAUAAAGACUUGAAAGAUUAUAUGGGGAUUCAAGAUGGUUGUCUUCUUUCUGGUUAGCCUCGCAAUCCCUCCUUCAGCUCACAGAUUUGUUUAAAUAACCUUCACAAGUUCUCCCUGAGAUCAGCGACAUUUCCUAGCUGUCGAGCUGACACGAGAUCAGGUUUAGGUGUCUCUCCGCGUCCAAUGACGGUCACAAGUUUCAGCUGUUCACUAGACUUAGCUCUGAUGUAGGAUCGCCCAAAAGAAUCAAGAUUUACUAUACUGUUGUAAUUCUCUUCCGAAAACUUGAACAGAGUUGAUUAGUUCUUGGACAUGCACACAAAGGAAAUGUCUUUUAGGAAAAGAGAGAAGUAUGUAAAGGUUGGCAUGCUAAAUCGGUAUAAGAAAUGUAGUAGAGCGUUAAUAUGACCCGUUUGUUUAAAUGCUGAAUUUAUGUAUAACUUGGCCUACAAAUUAUGAACAAGAAUAUUUAAAGAGAUAUCAUUCAAACAAAUGAAUUAAGACUCCGUAAAAGUUUAUCCCAUUAUUCGGUAUAUCGAUUUUACGAAUCGAAUUUUAUAUUAAACAGGGAAAAUGAAGUUGUUUCAGUUCAGUCCCACUUUUUUUAGCUGAUUAUGCCACAAAGCUAGUGCGUGAAGGGUUUCUCAUAAAGUAUCAUUAGUGGUGUCAAACUGGAUUAGUCAUAAUGCUUUGUUUUUUUUUAUAUAAGACUGCUGUAUUGUAUCUACAUGAUUUUUUAUUUUGAUUAUAUCCCCAUUUUUUUCUGUGGGUAGAAGACAAUUAAGCAAUCAAAAGGAAAAACCUAUCUGGAGGAGUCAAGAAAAAGUUAUCAACAAGGGGAAAAACAAAAAAUCUAGUUAAGAAAAUUCAAGAACCUCCUAUUCAGAUAAUCUCAUAGCAAACUGUGUAUUUGUCUUCUGCAAGUGAAAUCCAAGGACAGCAGCAGCAUCAACUUGCUGCCAGGCCACUUGCAGGCCCUUUCCUAUCACCCACUCGUCACUCUGUCUCUCACAAUUUAUGCAUUACAGCCAAAAACUCAAUUGAACGCGGUAGAAAUCUUACGUGCACCGAGUAGACUGCUGCUUAUUUAGCCUUUGCAUGAUUCUCAUGAUGAAGAUGAUAUUUUGAUUUGAAUAAUUAAAAGAGCUCGAGGGUCUAAUAAAUGCUGAUAUAUUCUUGCAAUUUUAUAAAAUCGAGGUGUUUAAAGAAAAAAAAAUUGAGGUGUUCGAAAAUUAUGAAAAAUCCAAUAUUAAAAUCAUAAUAAUGUUUGGUAAAAUAAAUAAAUUGAAUAAUAUCGAAAUAAAGCACUGUUUUUUUGUAAUUUGUAGAUAGUUGAAUCUCUUCUCAAUUUACAUAAAUUCAAAAACUUGCUUAAAAGUAUAAUUUUUAAGGAAAAGUAUUGAAGAGAUUACUAAUCAAAUUCUAAACAUUAAACGUGCUCUGUAUCCAUCACCCUUUGCUAAAUCACUGAGUUAUAAAUUUUAGGAUGAGCCAUUUUGAAUAACUCAGCUGUUGGUUCAUAUUUUCAUGACUUUAUGAGCGGUAAGUAUGAAGUUUAACCACAAUGUAGUUAAAUCAAGAAUUGACCACAAUGCAGAUUGGUUCGUUUCCUUGUCUAAGAAGAACUUUAUUUGAUCAAACUUGAGAAAAUUAUAAUCAAGUGAAAUUAAAGUUAGUAUAAAAUGGAGCUACCUCCAAUUGAUUAUUCAAUAGGAAAUAAAAAAGUCAAGUCCAGUUUUCUCUCUUGGAAUGGAUUUAAAAAGAUUAUAAGAAUUUAUCAGAUCUAUCAAACCUCAAUUUAUAAGAUCUAUUUCAGAAUAAACAAAACUUAAUCGAAUCUCCUUUUUCUUAAAAAAAGAAAUGAAAAGCCACGAGCCGUUCUUCCCCGCUUCCCGCCUCUAUACAUAAGAUUCCCUCCAAUUUCCGAUCGUAAUUCGAAAAUCUCUUCUUCUGCGCAGACGCAGCGAAUUCGAUCGCCGAUCGUCAAACUCCAUCGUCGUGCAUUUCCCGCCGAUGCAAUCGCCGGCAACGAUUCUGAGUUUCGCCUCGCGUUCUCUCGUCGAUGCUCAGAGCCGAAGAGCAGAGCCACCGGCUGCAGAUCGUGGAAAGAGAGGACGACGUCCACGACGAAGAAGACCUGCUCCAAACGAUCGACAAACGUAAGUCAGGGGACAAAACAGAGUGCAGGCAGCUCCUCUCUGUUCAUCUCAUCGCGUUUGUUUUCUCGUUGAUGUUCCGGUGCGUCGUUUGAUUCCGAGACGAGUAUCGUGAUCUUCUCGUCUCUGUUCUGAAGUCAAAAGCAAGGUGCAAAUGGCUCGAUGGAACUAUGAGUGUGAAUCUCUUCGAAUGUCGAUAUUAAGUGACUCUGAAUGCUGCCAACCGGAUGAGCUCGAUUUUGGUUUGGUUCCUCAGUUUAGCUCGAUUUUCCUGGAACAUCCCCGUGAAUCCCUUAGUGUUUUUACAUCUCGAUCUUUCCCUCAAACUUGUCGUGAUUUUUUGCACGUGCAGUAGUUUUCAGUUUUUGUCUUCUGAUCAUACAAGAGCAAUUCCAGCCUUUGUUAUGUCACGUGACAUUGGAAUUGCACCAUUGUAUCGGUGACAUAGCUGAAUUAAUAAAAAAAUAUCCUAAGCUAAAUUCAUCAAUAAUCACUGUUGGACCGCUAGACUGUCAGUAAUGAUCUAGGAAUGCUUUUGUCCUGACAUUCUUCAUUCACCAGAAAACAUAAGAGUUUAAUGUGAUGAUUAAGCUUGAGUCUUCGUUGAGGGACGAUUCUGGUUUGCUGAAAUGCAGCAAAGUGAAGAAUAAUGUGAAGAGAAAAUCAAAGACUAAGAUCGAAGAGUAUCUCGAGCAUGUUAUGUGGAAAGCUGCCAUGUCUGCUGAGGAGGAUCUGGAAUUGGGAAGGAAGCUUGCCAAGAAGCUCAAGGUGAAAGGAUGGAAAGCUGCAGGGGUCAGGCGAUGGAAUGAAUAUGUUAUUUAAAGGAAUUCCUUCUAUUCUUGAUUCUUUUGAACAAAGCACCGGGGGUAAGAGAAAAUCGUAGCAAAAGAUUUGAAGGUUAAUCUUCAGGCAGAAAAAGUGAAAUGUCCAACUUAGAGCAUAUGCAGGAUGAUGGAAAAGCUGUUCAUGUUAAGGCUGGAGCCUGUGCCUCAGCAGAAACCUCUUCAUUUCAGCUCUCGAGUGAGUUCACGAGCUCUGCAGAUUUCAAUUCAUUUCCUUUUCGUGAUGUGAUUACUGAGAAUGAUUCUGAGUUUCCAUUCGACUUCCUCUUGAACUUGUCGUGAUUUUCUGUGCAUACUGUGGUUUUAGUUUUUUCCCUUAAUUGACAAGGAGUAAUUUCCGCUACUACUUGAAUACAACACAUCUAAUUCACGUAUUUGACGUAUGCCUUCUAAAUCGUGCAAGAGCAAUUCGGCCUUUGUUAUGUUGCAUCACAUAGUAAUUGCACCAUCGGUACAUCUAUUUGCCGCGCAUUUAUGGCAUAGAUGGAUUAAUAACGAAUCUCCACUCGCAAUGGCUUGAGUAUGCAUACCAAGAAGGUAUAUCUGAUCCUUAGUCCUGAGAAUUAAGUUGAGGUUGCUUCUUCUUCUUCUUCUUCUUCUUCUUCUUUUUUUUUUUUUUUUCAGUAUCACCUAACUGGAAUAAAAGGAUUAUCUGAGGCACAAGUUGACAAAAUACGUGAAGCAGCUGAAAAAAUAGUGGUUAGAUUCUAGAUUCUUCUUGACCUGAGAUGGUGGCUCCAAUCAAUUUGAACUUCUAUAAGUAUCUUUGGAACACCUCAAUGAGUUAUUGACCCUUGAAAUAAAGCCUGCAAAUUAGCAUGUGUUGCUCAAAGUACUUUUAAUGUCUUUAUUUCCAGAGAAAGUCGGUUGUUGCAUCACAAUUGGAAGCCAAGCCCUCGAUGAGCUUUUAGGCGGUAACAGACUUUCUUUUGCAGGCUGUGUCCAAAGAAAUUACCUUUGAUGAAAUUUUAGUUGCUUUUGUUAAUUAGCUUUCUCAGAAAAUGCUGCUAACGUCACUUCAGGCUGGGAAAAUAUAGCUUGCACAUACCCUGUGCGUUACCACUCAGGUUGGUCUGAAUUGGAUAUUAGGUUUCCGUCGUUAACUUCUGUUGCCUUUUUUGUUCAGAUAAACAAUGCCAAAUAGUAACAUAAUGACUGAAUUUCUAUGAAGAGUAAAGCAGGCGAUCUUGGCAUCAGAACGUGUGUAUCAGGUGAUUUUGGGAGUAUGGCACUCUCAUUUUCUGUAAUCUGCAGUCAGUAUACUGGAACGCAUAUACAAAACCAAGCAGGAAAAGGCCAGAAGAGUUUGUACUGUGUCAUAACUGAGUAAAAGCCUUAAUCAUUGUCAGACUCAGACUUGGGUUGAUCAUUAGUCGAAUGUGAUGCUUGAAGAUACUUUACUUAUUUGCAAAUCCUACAACAGUAUAUACCCUGUUUUCAAUUGUUCUUUAUUGAUGGCUUGUGGAUUCCAUCUUCGUAAAAAAAUUUCAGCUGCCAACUCACAUGAGAGGAGGAAAUGGGAAGGUAGCUUGUAUUGACACACAGUGAACUUUGUAUCCUAUGAUAAUCUGUCUGUAUUUUUCUUGACCUCGGCAAAGCUGCUUGUGUUUCAUAAACGCCGUCUGUCCAUGUAAGUGCAUGUGCACUUUCUUAGCUUAGUACACCUGCAGUCACCCUGAUUGAAUCGUACCAACUGCCGAGAGAUUUGGCAUGGAUCCUGGUGCGGUCCUAGAUAAUGUAAGCAAUGCUUUCUGUACUGGUGGCAACUCUUACUUUUCUGGCUGGUGUACUUGCUGUAAUCUAGUCUUUCCAUGAAUUUGAAGGUCAUUUAUGCCCAUGCCUCUACUUCUGAGCAUCAGUACAACUUGCUUCUUGGUUUGGCUGCCAAAAUGUCUGAAGAACCAUUCAAAUUACUGGUAAGGCACUGCUCAAGAAUCAAACUCAACAGAUUUUCUGAGGUGUGGAUGGUUGACCUAUGUGAGUGCCUUUUUCAGAUUGUGCAUUUGGUGAUUGUUCUCUUCCGUGUGGAUUUUACUGGAAGAGAACUUGCAGAGCGCCAGGUUGAUCCUGAAACCAUCAAAUCAUGCAAGUCGUUAUUCUGCAGCUUAUCAUGUUUGAGACUUAUGAAUUCCAAAUUGCAGCAAAAAUUGGCACAAAUGCUCUCACGUUUUAUUAAGAUAGCUGAGGAAUCUAACGUGGCAGGGUACAUGACCAAUUAAGGUACUGCAUCACAUCUCAUUUCUCCCAUGUAGUCCUCCAUCCAUUCAAAGUUCUUAUUCAAUUUAGCCCUUCGAUGGUUGCACACUGACAUAUAGCAUUUUGGGGACUGCACUAAGCUCAAACUAAUUCUUGUAAAUCUCAAGAACCAGCUAUUUGGCGCAAACUGGUGAAGCAUACAGUAGCUGCAGUCCAUGACAUAGGAAAAGGAUUUUUUUUUUUUUUUAAUGACUCUGUCUUUGAUUUUGUUUCAGUCGUAGCUGAUCCAGGCGGAGGUGUGUCAUCAGACCCAAUGAAACCUGCAGGCGGGCAUGUUCUGGCUCGUGCAGUUUAGGUUGAUGUUUAGGAGAUCCAUGAACAUGUUGAAUACAAAUUUUGCGCGGAAGAAUUAAACAAAAAGAAGUGGAUAUUGAUAAUUUUCCUCAGCAGGACUGGUAUAUUAUUAUUAGCUCUACUGUUAGGUAGACGAUGCACAUCUAUUGAGACCAUUGCUCAAUUUUGUCAGAAAAUUUAGCAAGAGCUCAUCUGUCAAUAGGAUGAGAUCGAGAUAUUCCAUAUAUGUUGGACUUGACAAACACACAUUUUUUAGAUAACACCAGGAGGCAUCGCCGAUGUGAAGGACUUAAGAAGUCUCCCCAACCAGGAAGGCAGGCGAAAUGCUUUCUUUUGUUAAUCUGCAAUUUGUUGUUACUCAUCGUAUUGACAGCUAGAGGCAUAUAAUGAGCUCCCAAGCACUUCAUUUCCUCACUCUGCAAUGGACACUUCGUCACCCUUGUCAUAGCUUGUCCUUAAGUUUCUUGUGCUCGACAACAAAUCAUUCAUGAAAUGACAUGAGAUACGUUCUCUAUGGUGACCCGAAAGAUUUGUCAACCACAUUGUCACCUUUGUGUAUCAAUUGCAGAAUAUAUCGUAAGGGUAAGGCCUGAGUAUCCUUUCUGCUGCUUCGAUUUUUGUUUAGCCACUCAGAUUUAUAUAAUAAAGCCUUAUAUGCUCUAAGGAACUUAAUCGAGCAUGGCAUGUAUGGAAAGGUCAUAGGACUUCUUCAGGCUUGAAAAGAGAUGUGACCAAAAGAAAGUUAUUCAGGGUCAUUUUGAAUAACUUCAGAUGAAAUGAAAUUUAUCAACCACAAUGUUUUGUCAUAAAGAAAAAAAAAACAUAAAAUUAUCCUGUGCGAUAUGUUUUUGACUACACAUAAUAUCAGUUUGGUUUGAGGCUAACAUUUGUGGAUAUCGUGGUUAUUAUGAGGCCAAGAAGAAAUCUAAUCCCAAUAUUUGAAAGCUAAUUACCUAACAUCAUCUCCAUUGAGUUUGCAAUAAUUUUCUUUUGACAAGUAAAAGAACUUUCUUGCAAUAUGGCGUCUAGCAGAUGCUAGUCCAUGUAACAAGUCAUGAACACAAUUUAUGCUAUCAAUGAGGUAUACGAAAGAACCGCCAAAAGCUGAGGAAAGCCAUCUAUCAUUCGAACUAAAGAACGAGUCUUCCUAUUUUCAAAGGUGAUAUUUAGGACAAAUGAGGAAUAAGCUGGAUCGGCCUACUAUUGGUUUAAUUUACAGAUGCAAAUGGGAGUUUGUCUAAUUAAAUCUAUAUAGCAGAUACUCAAAACUUCAAACUUGUGAAGAAAAAGACUAAAAAAGCAAGUUAUCUUGAUAGCUCGAACAAGAAUAUUUGACCUUAAAUUGAAUCAUGAGGCUUUUAUGCUUGGUCAAUUUCACUAAUAUCCAUGAAGUAGCUGUCUCCACCUAUCCUCCAAUUCACUUAUGACUUCAGCUUGUUCAAGCUACAUUGGGACGCCUUCAUCCUCAUGGAAAUCAUUAUCUUCCAUAUCUGAUGAGUCUGUAAAGGUUUCUAUCUUUUUCUUCCUCCCUCUAUAACCAUUAAGGCUUAGGACCUUUUCCUUCCAAAUAAUCAGCAGAGAUUUCUGAAUCAGCUUCGCACCUUCAAAAGCUCCUGUCAAGAACACACUAAACCUUUUCCCCCUCUGAGAGACAUAGCAAAUGCCAAAAUGCUUCAACAGGAGUCUCAUAAGCUUUUGAGGCAUCAUGGAUUCUUGUCGAAAGUGGAUGAGGUGAUCGGUUACCAACCUCUUUUCCAUUGUGAAGCUAAAUAANNNNNNNNNNNNNNNNNNNNNNNNNNNNNNNNNNNNNNNNNNNNNNNNNNNNNNNNNNNNNNNNNNNNNNNNNNNNNNNNNNNNNNNNNNNNNNNNNNNNNNNNNNNNCAGAAAAUGCUGCUCCAGCGGUUCAGGUCUGGGAAAACUCAGCUUGCACAUACCCUGCGUGUUUCCGCUCAGGUUGGUCUGAAUUGCAUAUUAGGUUUCUGGCAUUAACUUCUGUUGCAUUUUAUGUUUCCUAGAUGAGCAACGCAAAUAGUAACCCGGUGAUUGAAUUUCUCAUAAAGAAAUGCAGCUGGGGUUGAUCUUGGCAUCAGAAUGUAUGUAUCAGGUGAUUCUGGGAGAAUGGCAGUCAUUUUCUGGAAUCUACAGUCAGUACAUUGGAAUGCAUGAUAUGUAGUGGUUCAAACCAAGUAGGGAAGAGGCUAGGAGAAUGUACUUUUGUGAUAACAUUAGAAGCCUACAACAAUAUUUCCCCUCUUUCCAUUACUCUUUAUUUAUGGUUUCUGGAUUCCAUGAUCCUAACAAUUUUUCCAGCUGCUUACUCACGUGAGAGGGGGAACGGCAAGGCAGCUUACGUCGACACAGAUGGAACUUUAUAUCCUAAUAUAAUCUGUCGGUCAUUUUCUUAACCUAGAAAAAGCUGCUUUUGUUUCAUACUCGGCUUACGUCCAUGUAAGUGCACAUGCACUUUCUUGACUUUGUACACCUGCAGUUGCCCUGAUCGUAUUGUACCAAUAGCUGAGAUAUUUGGCAUGGAUCCUGGUGCAGUCCUAGAUAAAGUAAGCAAUGCUUCCUACACUAUUGGCAACUCUUCCUUCUUUUCUGCUAGUGUACUUGCUGUAAUCUAGUCUUUCCAUGAAUUUGUAGAUCAUUUAUGCCCGUGCCCAUACUCAUGAGCAUCAAUACAACUUGCUUCUAGGUUUGGCUGCCACAAUGUCUGAAGAACCAUUUAAAUUAUUGGUAAGACUGCUCGAGAAUCAAAUUGCACAGAUUUUGUGAGGUGUGGAUGGUUGACCUUAGGUGAGCAAUAUCUUUCAAAUUUGUGGAUUCAGUGAUUGCUCUGAUUCAAGUGGAGUUUACUAGAAGAGGAGAACUUGCAGAGCGCCAGGUCCAUCUGUCAAAUCAUGUGAGUUGUGAUUUUUCAGCUCAUCUUGUUUGACACUAAUAGAUUCCGAAGUGCAGCAAAAUUGGCACAAAUGCUCUCACGCUUACUUAAGAUAGCUGAGGAAUUUAAAUGUGGCAGUGUACAUGGACUGCAGCUACUGUAUGCACUACACCAAACAGUUGGCUCUUGAGAUUUAUAAGAACUAGUAUGAGCAUAGUGCUAUCCCCGAAUUGCUAUUUUUCAGCGUGCAACCAUCAAAAGGCUAAAUUGUAUAAAAUCUUCUAAUGGAUGCACGUCAACGUGGGAGAAGCGUGUCUGCAAGGUGUUUGAUGCCCAAACCUACCUAAAGCUGAAGCUAUAUCCUUUUUGCGCCAUAUCUUCCUCUAGUUAUAUACUUCAUUGGAACUUACCAUAUCAUACUACGGAGACUAAAUAAAAUAUCUAGAAGUCUAUGUCAAAAUCUGUGAGAAAGUCAAUACUAAGUCUACAUAGACCUGAUUUAAGCAGGAUAUUCACAGUAUACUUGAUGUCGCAUGGAGAUCCAUGAACAUGUAUGCGAAUUUUGUGCAGAGGAAUUAAACAAAAAGAAGUGGAUAUCAAGAAUAUUUCUAAUCAUUACUGGUAGAUUACAGUUACAUAAUAGACAUCUAAGCGAAAAAUAUUACACUGAAUGAACUCUGCAUGAUGGCUCAAUGAAAUGCCAAAAAGAUAUAAUUGCAAAUAGCAUGAUCAGGUUCUAGAAAGGCUUGGUUUUAUAAGCAACAAAUACAGCUGCAUAAAACAACGUCAUCUCAGACUCUCAACAUGGAGCAACAGACCAUUAGAGCUGAAAAUUGUCGAUGUAUGAGAAAGGGUGACUGGGUCAUAAGCAACAGAAGGCCAUUCAAUAGCUAAUGGCCUGGCCAAGAAGGGGCCACAAACCAUAUGACUAGGUAGUGCGAGGACCAGUUCGUAGCACUCCUAACUCUAGGCAUGUUAGACUCCUUAGUCUCUGCACCACUUCGAAUGUGGUGCCGCGCACUUGGCCCAAGCUAUCCACCCCAGGAACUCACUUCACCUCAUUUGGUGGGUGCUUAUAACUCCACAAACCUCCAGAGCUGAUGAAGAAGCAUCCUGAGUUCAAAAAAAGGCAACGUUAAAUGGUGAACGAUUUAACCUACAAUGUAUGCACGUUUUGAAAUGUGCAUUUUAACCUACAAUGUUGCUCUUCCAAUAUGAUGUUACCCAACAACAUAACAUUCUCCUAUCAGCAGAGCUCAUCCAUCCUCACUUUUCAUGUUCCAAUGCUCGGAGUAAACUCCAGUGACGCCACAUUUAUGAUCUGUGAAGAUAAUUACCUUUAGAGAAUGGUGCAACAGUUUCCCACAGCCCCUGUUUAUGACUCCUGCAUUGUCCAAAGGAACAAGAUUGCCUUCGGAAUCACUUCCCCAGAAGAAAGGGACACUUCCACCAACAUCCUGUAUGAUUAAGAGAACAUAAAGGAUUAGACAGAUCGCAGGUGGAGGGAGAGACAGAGAGAGAUAUCCCCAGAAUCAAACCAUGAAAAUUAUUAUUACUUACAGCAGCCAGAAAAGUGGUUUCCGGAGGGCCAUCCAAGAGCACAAAUGCAAACUUUCCAGUGAUGUCUUUCAUAACUCAAUCGGCAGUGUAAGGCCUCCGAUCUCUCCUGAACAUGUCGAAAGAGAUUAUUCAUAACUCAAUCGGCAGUGUAAGGCCUCCGAUCUCUCCUGAACAUGUCGAAAGAGAUUAUUCUUAUUUAGAUCAUAUUCACUAGAAGAUAAUUCAGAAAAUAUCAGUGCAGCAAAUGAUAAUUAAAAGCUUGCUUUUUAUGUGUUUUUUAAUUUGGAAAAAUGACACAUAUAAUUAACUAUAUUGAUCCAACCUCAGCAACAUUCGCACGUGAUCCUCCCAAGAGAUUUUGCCAAUACAGAUCACCACGGUAUGUGCAAAACAACCGCAGUGAAUGAGCUAAGGGCACAAGGAAGAAGAUGCUGGGAAAAUUCAAAGAAAUAAAAAGGUGGCAUGUUGUAAAAGAAUAAAAGGAUAUAACAUGUAGCACAUGAUAAAAGAAUUAUCCCCUAGGUUGCUCCGGCAAAUCAAAGGACUCGGUUGUCUAGAGUUAAGUUCAAGUAAAAGAAGCUUUUCUUUUCGUGUCAAAAUUACAACCUUAUCCAUAUUUUAAAAAAAAAAAACAUAUGGAAAAUAUAUAGGUGAAUUCAUAUGUCAAUGUUGUCCAUUUGUGCGAAAGUUUCAAGAGUUCAGGAUUAAAAAAAAAGGACAAAAAAAGAAGAAAAUAAAAGUUAAUAUUAACGCAAAAUAAAAAGCACUUAUACGUCAAACUUCCAAGGGCACAACAAACGAACCUGUUGCUAAGAUAAAAAUGGGAAAAGGGUCAUAAAUUAUUACCAGGACUGCAAUCCAGACUCAGUUUUUUAAGCUACUGGCAAAUGAUACCGCAUAUUCAAUGUUGAAAACUUAAGACUCAUCCUUCCAUGAGCCCUAAUCAAAAUGACAAACGGGGGCUGCUGUAACCGUGAGUACAUCCUGUAUAUCAGCAGCAAUCCUAUAUUCAUCCUUUUUUGCUUUCUCUCUGUAACAAAGCCUCAUUUUAUGUUUUGCAAGGUGAUGCGAUGUGAUCCCGUUGAAACACUCUUGGUUGAUGACAAGAGCUAAACUCGCCUGAUUCAAUGAGGACUGAAGUAUCUUCUUAUGAUUCUGGAAAUUCCCAUGGAAAGGCGCCACCUUGCCUUGAGAAAUCACCCAGAGCUCGUCGACGCUUCCAGAUAUUAGAUGCUCAUCAUGACUAACCUGCAAAUCAAGGUGAAAAGAUGGCUGUUAGCUGUAAAGAUGAUCCAUCAUUGGUCAUAUUAAAGUAUGUUAGCAAGAAAAAUCAAUCUCACCAUCAGAAUUCCUCCUUGGAACAAGACCAGACCUUGAAUGAGUGUCUCAACUGCAUCCAAACCCUACAGUCAGGGAUAAUUAAAUACACAAAAUCAUACUCAUCUAUCCUUAGACAAGAAACUAACAAUUCACAAAGAUAAAGCUAUAGUAUUCACUGGUCAUUAAAGCAGAACUUAAAGUCCACAUUUAUAAACAAAAAGAUUUCCACAUUUAUUAUGUGCAAAGCCCAAUGUUGCCUAUAGGCACGCAUAUUGGCACUACUUGGUAUUAUAAAUUUCUGUAAUUCAGGCUAGCAUAACUAUUCCAUUGCAAUAUUUUGCAAGUUGGAACAAUCACAUUGGUUUCCAUUCCAUUAUAAGUUAGAUGCAUAAUGACAGAGGCUCCCUAUAGCUGUAAUAAACGAAUGGUUCUAUCAUAUUUUUGAUAUAAAGACCAGAUUCCGAUAAGUACAAUUAGUGCAAGACAAUGACAAGGUAACUGGAAACACCUCCAUGGGAAAACAUCAGUGUGUAUUACACAUCGAAUUGGGGGAACAGAAUCAAAAUUGAUGCCACAAAAACCAAAAACCUACCUGAACCUAGAAAGCUUACAUUGCAUCAACGUAUGAAUCCCGACAGCUAACAAAUGAAAGCAAAAAUAUAAAAGAAGUUGGAAGCAUUACCUGAUUAAUAAAAAGCAGUCAAUGGAGACAAAUCUUUUAUCGUGGCUAUCAAUGCGUGAUGAAAGAUAUCUCUUGGAUGAGAGGCCAAUAGUCGCCAGUGAGAUUUGAACAUCUCGAUUUUUCAGAAUCUCGCAUCCGUAUAUGAACAAAAAAUUUUGGGGAUUGAGGCCAGAACUGAAACAGGGGAGAUGGAUGCCUGCAGAGGGGGCUGAAUUACUUGCCGUUCGAAAGAGCUUUGCAGUGGCUGAAGAGAAAAGCCAGCCCAAGGCAGUAGUGGACAUGGAUGCAGCUGUGGCAUACAAGAAUAUCAUCAUCAUCAUCAUCAACUUUCGCAAGCCAGUGCAAUCGGAGACUAAAGGAAGCUCUUGCUGGAUAUUCAAGUAGCUAAUUAUCAAUUUUUCAGCUCUGAAUUUCAGUCGUACUUCAACACGAGAAGCAAACGUCUACACACAUCGGAAGAAAUUACUUCAUGAUUAAGCAUCGAAAUGAAGAACAGAAACACGAAAUGGAUGCAUUCAAGAAGAAAGGACUUACCCGAACCCUUAGAAAUCCGACCGUAGAUGGAAGGGAUAGAAUCGCGGCAGUUAGCAAUGAAGCGAAAGUGGAUAGAUUUCACUUCAUCGAAUCUGAGAAGCCAAUCGAUGCCGAUGUUGAGGAUUUCUUGGAUUUCCGGAAAUUCAUGCGGAGAAUCUCCACGGGAAAGUAUCGAUUUGUAUUGAGCAUCGAGUUGAGGAAGCAGAAUGGGAAAUCGAUGCCUUCCGAACCCUAGAAAUCCGACGAUACUAGGACUAAUAUUGGAUCUGAACGUGAUCAAUGGUGAUGUAAGGGAUCUCUUGGAUGAGGGGCCAACAGUCGCCGGUGCGUUUUGAGCAUCGAUCUUUCAGAUUCUCGCAUCCAUAUAUAUGCAAGGAUCGGAGGGAGGGAGGGAGGCCAUCCUCUGGCAAGUCCCUCAACUUCGGGCAAUCUAUAAUGUAUAACGUUUCGAGAGAGGAGAGAUGGUUGCGAAGGCCACUUGAUAGUCUUUCCACUUUCCUCAUAUCGCAAAUCCAAAGAGUGGUGAGAGAGGAAGGAAAGAGAAGACUCCAUGCAUCCUCGUUGUCUUCCUCCGAAGGAAACCACACUCCCUCCACGCUGCUUCCGUCUAUUUUCAAAUUCUUGAGGGAUGUGAGCAUGGUUAAGCCCCAUUCUUUCAUUGGUUGCUUCAUAUUCUCGCAAUCCCAAAUAUAACACGACUGCAAAUUGGGAGGCAAACCUCCUUCUGGCAAGCAUUUGAUAUUUUCACACCUCGAAAUACUUAUCACCCGAAGGGACGUAAGAUGAUGCCACUCCUUCGGUAGAGACUUCAUCUUAGGAAUCGACAGAAGUUCAAGUAUCACUAGGGUGAUGGGAAGGGGAGGGAAGUCCUCUAUCUCCAAUGCUGGACACUUGUCCAGGUACAAAUAAGUGAGACGGGAGAGCAUGUGAAGGCAUCGCGGUAGACUCACCAAAUUCUUACAAUUCCAUAUAGAAAAAAAUUCAGCGAUUCUGCUAUGAUCUCUUCGAGGGACUCCAACCCCUCAAACUUCACAAUAGUAAGCUCCUUUAGAGAAGCAAGUCUACCCUUAGCAAACGGAAAGGAUAUCAAAGAAUCACAUUCACUUAUGGUGAGAAAUUUAAGUGAAGGUAUCGAGUUAUUGGCACUGGGGUCAUCUUGAGAAACUAUUUGUCCCAUGAUUUUUGGACAAUUUUGGAUAUUCAAAUCUCUUAAUGUGUACAUCUUGCUUGGUAGCUUUUCUAAACUCGUGCAAUUUCUCAAAUCCAUCUUUUCAAGGUUGCAGGAUAGCUCCAUUUCUCCGUCUUCGGCCACAAAAGAUGUGAAUUGAGGACAACUAUCAAUGAAUACACUUUGAAGGCAAGCAAGAUUUUCCAUCUCAUUUCCAUUUUGCCACAAGUAGUUUAGUUUGUCACACUGCGCCAUAUAAAGCUUCUUUAACUUAACCAAGUAGCUUGUAAACCCAUGAUCAAAGCAAACAAGCUCCGCAAGAUUCUUAAUUUCGAGAAAGGUCAAAGAAGUUAGGUUUAAAAAGAUUUUUAAGAUCUCCUCGUUACAAUCCUCAAGGGAUAACUCAGAGAGAGAUGGGAGACAAACCACAUUGGUUGAGCUAUUCAAAUGUGGGCUUGAAUAAAUUUCUAGCUUCUUCAGAAGAUCAAGUUGACCAGGCAAUGUCCCAACCAACUAAUGACAUCCCCGGACAACUAGAUGCUGAAGACAAGAGAAUGUGACAUCUUCUUCUUGAUCCCCAACAUAACAAGACCAAUCCUUCAAUGCCAACAUCUCUUCCAGCUUCAAAGUUGUUAAGGAUGAAAAAGGCCUUUUACCUUCGUAAAAUUCAGGGCCUAUCAUGCUUACUGCAUGUAGACCUUCAAGAGAUAAUUCUCUAAGUGAAGAUAGUUGUCCAAGUGGUGGAAGUGAUGCGACAUUAGGACAGUCCUGUAAGCAUAAAGAAACUAUCUUAGAAUAAGAUGGACCAUCUAACCAUGAGGGGAAUCUUGCACCACCAUAGUGCGAGAUAGAUAGAUGUUCAAGAUUAAUGUGAGGUUUUAGAUAGUGAAGCACCAGUGUUUCGUGCUUCCCAUUCUGCAAAUUUCCAAAAUUUUCACCCCAGUGCAAGAAUAAUUUGCUAAGGCCUCUCUUUCCAAUUAAAUCAGCAUCAACUGCAUCUUUGACUUCUUCCACAUUUUGCAAAUUUGAUAUGAAUAUUUCUCCUUGAAGGUGUGGCAAGUUCUUUAACUCCUUUAACCGUGACCCUUUGUCUGGUCCUACCACAAACUUGGACAAGAUCAUAAGAUUCUUCAAAUUACUAAUAUUCAAUGGCAUUUCCUUUAGACUCAUUGUAUCUCUAAUAUCAAGAAAUUGCAAGCCGACCAAUUUUGUGAUUCCUUGAGGCAACAAAGAAAGCUCUCGACAACCUUUUAAGAUCAAAGCUUCUAAUUUGCACAAGCUGCCAAUUGACUCAGGUAGCCUUUUUAUUUUUGUGUAUGAGAAAUUGAGAUAGCGAAGAUAUUUUAAAUCACCAACACAAUCCGGAACCUCUAUGAUGUAACAAUGACUUAAGGAGAACCCCCUUAAGUACUUCAAUUUUGUUAGCAAGUCAUGUAGCACUUUGUUGGAAAUGCUAAACUUGUCACCCCAACUAGAUCUCUCAUACAAGAAUAUUAAACUCCUUAGUACCUUCAUUUGAUGAUAUGCUCUUAUGCAUUUUGAUGAAACAUACUCUGUCGAGGUGAAUGAUGCAUAACGAACUUUCCCAGGAGAUGCAUCAUCUUCAUUAUCUGCAGAGUUAAAGCAUGUCUCACCCGCAAUUGACUUUGCUAGAUCAUUCAAAAGAUCAUGCAUCGAAAACUUAGACGCGUUGACACUUGAUUGUUGAAGAAAUGAUCUAGAUACCAACUCAUCGAAGUGAGACUGUCCCCAUUUCAAGAUAUUAUCCUUUGAUCUUCUUCCAUCAAAAAAACCCUCCGCUAUCCAUAAGUGCACUAGCUCAUCCCUCUCAAUUUCAUAAUCCUUGGGAAAUAUUGCACAAUAAACAAAACAUCUCUUCAAAUAAGAAGGAAGAUGGGCAUAACUCAAUUUCAAAACUCGAAUAACCUCAUCAUUUUCUCCAGUUGGGAGAUCCCACAUUUUGUUGUUUAAGAUAGCUUCCCAUUGAUCGGGAUUCCUUUUAUCACGUAGAAGACCUCCCAAUACCUUUGUUGCCAAAGGUGAACCUUUACAUUUUUCGGCUAUUUUCUUGCCUAUUGUUUCAAGGUCUGGGUGCCUCUCAAAAUUUGUCGUGUUAAGAGCAUGAAAGGCUAAUAAGCUUAUACAAUUAUUAAGGGACAACUCCUUCAAAGGAUACGAUGACGCUCCUGUUAUGGAAACAACAGUAUAGUUGCGAGUCGUUAUGAUGAUCUUACUUCCUUCAGCCCCAACUUCAAAUGGCUUCAAGAGGGCGGUCCAUCGUCCGUAGUUUUCAUUCCAAACAUCAUCUAAAACCACAAGAAACUUUUUCCCUGAUAGACUGUCCUUUAACUUAACUUGAAGCCUAUUAAGAUCUUCACCCUCAUUAGACACCUCAGUGAUCGAUCGCAAAAUAGUCUUGGUUAUGUCGAGAACAUUAAAAACAUCUGAAACACAAACCCAUGCUCUCUUUUCGAAGUAGCUACUCACUUUGGCAUCAUUGUAUAGCCGCUGAGCUAAGGUUGUCUUUCCAAUACCACCCAUCCCAACUAUGGGGACUAUGCUCAAUGUGGUAUUGCCAUUUUCAGCUUCACCGGUCAAUAGUUCAAGUAUCUGCUCUUCUUCCUUCUCCCUGCCGAAAAAUUGAGUCUCAGGCAGACUAGUGCUGGGGAGCCUUUCGUUGGUGUAGUGGGAUAUGUCCACAACAUUCUUUCUCAAGCUUAGGAGAGACUUCCUCUUGAUAAUCUCUUCAAACCUGUCGACGAUCUGUAGUAACUUGGUUUCAGAUGCAAGCGAGCGCGGUCGGCUAAAGAAAGGGAACUUCCUUUUUAAUUGGCCUCUGCUUGUGCUGGAUUCUGCCUCUGACUUGGCUUGAGCAACUUCGAUCUCGAACUCAUCAAGCAAGUCUUCCAGGUCAUAGGCCAAGUCCCUAACAUUGUCCAGCCAUUGCUUCACUAAAUGGUCACCGUCGAGGUGCUUGUACUCUGCAUCAUCAAGCACUUCAUUGAUUUUUUCCAGCAUCCCCUUACACUUACGGAGCACUGUGGUGCUGAUUCCUUCCCGUUGCACAUAGUCCAAUCCCAUAGAAGCCAACUUCUCAAGCAAGACCUGAAUGAGGGAACUCAAAAAGAUCUCUCCAAUGGCCAUGGUGAAUUAGUCACUGUAGUCUGUAGAGAACAACAAGGGUUAUGGGGAAGCAAAGUGAUAGUGAGCUAAUCAAAAGAGAAACCUGUGAAGUCCAAGAAGACCUAGACUUUCAAGGAUGCACACAUGAGGUUAAACAAAUCGAAAUAAAAAAGCUUUUUGUCCACUAGUGCUUGUUUCACAAUAUUUAGAGAAUUUCCCCCAGCAACUUUAUUGGAUAUCAUGUGCCUUCUUUGUCGAUAGAGUAGCAAAAGUGAAAAGGAGCAAAUGGAAAAGAAACUUUAAUAGAUUCCAGGAAGACCAAGACUUUGCAGGACGACUUUGUUGCUUCACUUUCACAUCCCUUGUCUUUCAUCCCAAUGUGAAUAUCUCUUUUUUCUUUACUACCAGAACUUCCUCGCUUUACAUGUCGUGCUUAAAUUUGAUGAUGUUAUAAUUUUCGUCCAACUCUUUUCCGGUUCAUUCAUAUUGUGAUUUUUCAUAUAUUUAUUCAGAAUUAUGUCUAGACUUUUGCGUAUCUUUUCAAAUUUAAGUUCAAUAAAAGGAAAAAAAAAAAAGCAAAGAGAGAAUCUAAAAAUAACAAAAGCAAAAAUCUAAAAAAGACCACGGCCUCUGCAACGCCGUCGCCGUAAAGACCACUGCUAGGGUGACAUUUCCAACAUCGCCACCUUAUAGUCACCUUCGUAGACAAUAUUUUUCUUGAGAUUUUUCUUUGUGCGUUUAGAAGUUAGGGCUAAUGAGACAAUAAGUACCUAAACUUGUGUUCAUUUUCUAAACUUUUUUUUUUGUUCAAUGAAGUACCUCGAUUUUUUCAAAUUUGGCUAACUUUAAGGUAUCGGUUCUUGAGAUUAUUGGUUUAGAUUCAAAUCUUAAACAUAAGUGAUAUUUAUCCUAAAAAUUCAUCCUCUCGAUUCACUGCUUGGUCUCACUUUAAUAAUUUCUUUAUUAAGAUUUGUUGUUCUUUCAUGUGAAAGAGAAUAGGAAAGGAUUUUGUUAAUUUCACGCCAUUGCGAAAAUGUUUCAGUGGCUAAAUGUCAAGCACACGUGGAGACUAUAAAGUUCUUGAUGUUGAUUUCUUUCUCAAAUAAUUUUGAUCAUAAAAAUUCGAAAAAUAAAGUCUUGUUCUUGCCCCUUUUUUGGGCCAAUUCCAUUACUUUCCCUUUGAUCUCCUCGCCCAAAUCAACAAAAGUAUAUGCUCAGGUAGUUUGGUACACAAGUGCAUGUAAUUGGAGAUUUAGUAUAUAUUUAAGCCUAAGAUUCUUCUUUUCUUCCACUCGAAAUAUUUUAGUGGAUUACCAAACAUUUUAUUGAAGAUAGAGUUUUCUAUGUACAUGUAAUUGGAAGUGUUCUUUAUUUGUUUGUCUGGUCUACCACAACCAAUUUGUCUAAGAGUGUUUUUUCGUAGAUAAUAAUUUGUGUGUAUACAUAUGUUUGUAGAUAUAUAUAUAUUCCCUAAUUUUCCUCAUCAUGUAUUAUUACAAGGCGAUCAUUAAUGAUAGUUGUAAAGUCAUGGGAUAAUUAUCCAGAAUAUCCUAAAUUUAUAGUACGGUCGCCGAUUCAACUAUAAAUUUUCAAUUUGGUCAAUUUAGUCAUAAACUUUUGACAAUUUACCAAUGUAGUCAUUUCGGCUAAUUUUGGCCAAAAAAUCACUGAUGUGGGUACCGGUCAUCCUAUGUGGUAUGACUGCCAAUUUAGCAUGUUCCGCUAAAAAAGGAUUACAUUGGCAAAUCGUAAAAAAAAGAAAUUAUGAUUAAAUUGUUCAAAUUAAAAACUUUGAUAUUGAAUUAAAUGUUAUAUAAUAGGUUUAUGCCUUUUUAGAUAAUUAUAUAUGUCAAAAGUAUUGAAGCAGUUCCGGUGUUUUCUUGGGACAAGGCUAGAGCACUCUAUCAUCCAUUCAAUUUUGGGUGCUUUUCACAUGUACAUCAAUGGUUAAAGAAAUGAAAAUGAUGUACUUUUCGUUCACAAGUGCUUGUUUUGUAAUAUUCAAAGAAUAUUAUUAGAGAUUUCACUGGAUGCCCUGUUUUUUUUUUUUUUUUUUUUCUAGAAAGUCAAGCAAAAGAGAGCUAACGGGACAGAAACUUUAAUAGAUUCCCGGGAAGACCAAGACUUUGGCCAUGUGAAUGUCUUGGUUAUCAUUACUAGUAACAUUUCCAUGCAUUAAAUCAGGAUUAAUCUCUAUUUUAUCUUUUGCUUCAAAUUUUGCUCAAUUUGAGGUGUUUGCCAAAUAAUUUGCUAUGUCGUAAUGAUUUUAUUGACAUGGUUCGCAUGCCCUGGAAGUUGGGUGAUAAAGAGAGAGUGUGCGUGUUGGAUUAGACAAUUUUAGUAUCAAAUGUCUUGUUAAUAUGGUAACAUCACCAAAUACCAUAUUGGAUGCCAAUAUGAACAUCUAAUAGCUAUUUAAUAGUGUUACCGUCAUGUUAACGUUUUCCAUCUGCAAUCUUAAUGAAAACCUCAUGUUGACCCACAUUUCAAAAAUUGAGGUAAUUGAUUGAACGGAUAAAAAAAAAGUUUAAGAACCUGAUUGCGAAAGGGGUAAUAGUUCAAGUACUUAAGAUAUCAUUGUUCCAAAGAGUUUAUCGUACAAUUAUUGGUUUAGGUUCAUAUCUCACACAUACUUUUGUUUACGUACUAUUUGUUUUACAAACUUAUCCUCUCAAUUCAUUGCUUGGUCUCCCUUUAACAAUUUUCGUUUGUAAGAUUAUUCAUUCUCUCAUAUGAAAGAGAAUCGGAGAGUUUUGUUAAUUUCAUGAGUCAAAAGAUUUCAGUGGCUAAAUGUCAAGCGGAUUGGAGAGACUACAAAGUUCUCAAUGUCGAUUUCCUUUAGAUUUUGUUCUUGGAAUCAUUAGAUUAUUUUUAGUGGAUUAUUAAACAUUUGAUCGAAGAAAAACUUCUUCUUUGUACCUGAUUUUCUUUCGGUUGGACAUCAUAUUUAUAAUAUUAUCAUCACAUGUAAUUGUGCAGGCAAACGUAAUUCAAAUUUUUAGUAUGAUUUCUUUACCAAUUACAACUAAUUUGCCUAAAUAAUAUUUUUUGUAGAUAAUUUGUUCCAACUCUUUGAAUACCAAUUGAUAUAAUCUGAAAUAAUUGGUCUGACCCGCAAGAGACAAAAUUGAUAGCACAAGGAUUCUAUCUAACGCCAAGGUAAACAGUUGAAUGGCUAUUUUUUAGCGUUGGUGUCAUAUAGACAUUUUUCGUUCGCAUUUCAAUGGAAGUUUGUUCGAAAUGUCAAGGUAAUUGAUUGAAUAAAAAAAAAACUUUAGAAACUUGAUUGACAGUUCAUAGGUAAGAUAUUUCAUGCACCUUGCGAGCCGGUUUUAUUUCCGUCAAUUUGAGUAUUUUUGGAAGCCAUGUAUAUAGAAUGAAGUGGAUGGGGUUCUUUUUAUGGUGGUUUUGCUUCAACCACUCGCAUGUAAAAUUGAAUAAGCGCCUCCUCUCAAUGUUUUUCUCUUUUCCUUAUUCAGCCCGAUCCCAAAUGCUUGAAAUAAGGCAAAAUCAAAUUAUAGCCAAAAAUGUUUUUUUAUAUAUACAUGUCAAUUGGUAAUGAUAGUUGUAAAGUUAUACACAUAUUUCAACAGUAUUGAAUUACUCUGUGAUCCAUUUAAUUUUGGUGCUCUUCCCUGGAAUUUUGGUCAGUAUUGUAUAUGUUUUUUCCUCUUGUAAUAGUCAAUGACUUCCUGGAUUCAAUUCACUCAGAAAAAGAGAAACGGAAAAUCCUUGCAGUUGAGGCCUCCAUGUACCAAAUUAGAUUAGUGCAUUUGUCUUGUUCUUUUAUUAUUAUUAUUUUUAUGUAGGCACUUAUAUUUGGUUCAAGCAUGCCAAGUCACGAGGUUUGAGUGACAUUUGAAAACAAUCAACCAUAGAAACAAUUCAUUUUAUGGUAACUCCUUAUUUUUAAUUACAUGUAAUCUGAAAAUAUGUGCGCAAUACUCAUGUGUCUAGGUCUGUGCAUAGCCUGGAUAUGGACAUUAACAAUUUUCGUAGAUUUUGAAUUUCAUAAUUAAAGGACCUCAUUAAGUGGGGUCAAAUUAAAUAUAUUUUUAUAUUUCAUAAACAAGAUGUUUACUCACUAAUUCUUUUUCAGCUCUUCAUUCAUAAAUUUUAGAAAAAAAGGGAAAAUAAAUAAUUAAUAGGGCUCGUUAAUGAGCGUGCUUGAUCCCAUUUAUGCAUGGGCUUAUAAUCAUUGUGUAUGUACUCUUAAAAUUAAUCUUUCAUUUUAGGAAUUCAUGAGCAAUAGUUGAAAAUUUCCAGAACUAAUUGAAUUUUUUCUAUCUUUUCGCUCCAUCUUAUUUAGAACAAGAGUUGGCUUCAUCAACGACGGGCAUGUCACAAUGUUCAAGCUCGUCACUGGAAAUUUCAGCGAGGGGCUCAACUUUAGCAGCAGAAGUGCUGACAGCAAAGUUCAAGCCUUUUUAAUUACUCUGCGAGAAGAAUAACAAUACGGAUUCCAUUGUAAAUUAAUACUGUGCGUGUAAAAUUAUUUCAUAUCAGUGUGUGUUUAGUAAAAAGAACAAUGAUAGAGAGAUUAAAAAUUAAUCUUAACAUCCUAAUACUACUAUCUAACAAAAAUUGAAAUAACAAUUCUUUGUUAUUAAACUUGUUAUUAAACUUAUCAAGUAUUUCAAAUCAACUUCAAUCAGGACUAUAGGUAGGCAUGAAAUCGGUUUAAGAUCCAAACUUCUGUUGCUGCUGCUGCCUCUUCUUUUGCUCAAGAUAUUGCUUUUGGCUUCACUAAUAGAAAGAUUUUUGAAAGAAUUGGCGGUCGCCCUCGUGUAAUAAAUGCCCAUGAGAUGCUUUAGGUAGCGAAGUUCUGGCUAUAUCAAUUUGAGGGAAAAAGAAAGCAAGAUGUCUCUUACCUUUUAAGUGUAGACUUCUUGGAGUAGUCCGGUGAACGGGAUUAGUAUCAACGACAGCAAUCCAGCAAGCACGGACGCUAGGUUCGGAUGAGUAGGAGUAGAACACGGUUGAGCAG